AAUGCCAAAAUUGCUUGAAACAUCCUGCAAUUGGGUUAGUCCAUCCAAGUAUAUCCAUAUGACAUGCUUCCCACAAUCGUCCUAUAAACGUUCGGAAAUCGUAAUCGAUGGUCUCUGCUUUGCAGCAAGAGACAGGAGAACAAAUGACAAUGGACUAACCAAGAGGGCUGGUUACAGGUCGAGAGAUGCAGAAUAUAAUGUACAGCAGUAUUAUUCAACAUGGAGAAAGCAAAAUCUACACUUCAUAUAAGUCCUGGAUGAACAGGAUGAUAGGCCUUCCUUCCAUCAACUGAAGAGACCUUGUUACACAGCAUCAAGAAGAAGAAAAAUCUAACAGAAGUUUGGAGUAAGAACAGGCAGAAAUCACAAGGGAAGGCGCAAGGUGCGGCGCGCUUGCUUUUCAAGGUUGACAAAAUGGCACUUCACCCUUCGUUUUCCGUCUAACCAUCGCAUCGACGCAAUGUGAUGCUGUUGAUCCCUCUCAGCCUAUCUUCACCAGUGCCCUUGAUCUUCAACUCGCAUGUCGUCCUGAAGAAGUUCAAAACCGAACUCCCUUCCCAAUCCAAUCCCAGGAUAAUCUGAAGAAAUGUGGAUUCUGAAUCAUCAUUUCAUUAUUUAAUAGGAACAUGAGCUACCGCCUAUCUGAUGUUUCAGCAGGCAGAUAUGUUGAACUAACACAAUCUCUUGAUUGAAUUACUAUUGAUCAAAUUACCGACUGAUAGAUAAGACACUAAUAGCAAGUAAUGGCUCAUUCAAUCAUGGUUAAUUGGUUUGACAUUUAACUAGUAGCACGCUGGCAUAUGAAGAAGUUCAUACUCACGCGAGGCAUGUUUUUGCUUUUAGUUUCCUGGAAAUCUUCAUCGGAGCAUGAUACUCUAUUAUGCAAUGGGAUGUGAGCAUAAAAAUAUACAAACAGGGACGUUCUCAAAUGUCAACUUAACACUACAAUAUGUUUUGUUACUUACAUACUGAACUGUCUUUCAAUAACUUAUCAGAUGAAAAAGAUCGAUUAAUAUUAAUUAAUUACAGCUUAGGGAAAAGCGUUAAAAAAAAGUCCUAAACCUUUUGUAUUUGUGCCAAUUUAGUCAUAAACCUUUUUUUUUAUAUGUUAAUUUAGUUCUAAACCUUUUUACUUAGUGCCAAUUAAGUCAUUUCCAGCCAAUUUUGGCUGGAUUUUGUUAAUUGGACGCCGACCGGUUGACGUGGCCUAAUCAGUGCUGACAUUGACAACUUCUAAUGAUAUUAUAAUAAUUUCGAAUUUUUCUUUUUCUUUUUUCUUUUUUCCUUCCCUUCCUCCAACCGGUCGCCAGACCUCGGCGACCCGCCAUAGGCAACGGCCAGCGAGGUCGACCUUGCCGGCCACCUCACUGGUGGCUGCGAGGGCGGCCUCACGUUGGGCGGCAAGGCUCGCACUUGCCGGAUCCGACGAGGUCGAGCCUCACCCAUGGCCGGCAAGGCUCGGCCUCACCAGAUCUGGCAAGGGUGAGCCUCGCCAGUGUUGCCUAGGCCGCGAUCCGGCGAGGUCGAGCCUCGCUGGCCUUGGACAAGGCUCGACCCUUGCCGCCCAACAUGAGGUGGCCAGCGAGGUCGACCUCACCAGCCGUCGCCUUUGACCGGUCGCCGAGGUUCGGCGACAGGCUGGGGGAGGGGAAGGAAAAAAAGAAAAAAGAAAAAAAAAUUCAAAAAUAUUAAAAUAUUAUUAAAAGUUGUCAAUGUCAGCACCGAUCAGGCCACGUUAGCCGGCCAGCGUUUAGUCAGCAAAAUCCAACCAAAAUUGGCCGGAAAGGACUGAAUUGGCAUUAAGUAAAAAUGUUUAGAACUAAAUUGACACAAAUACAAAAAGGUUUAGGACUUUUUUUAAUUCUUUUCCCUUACAAUUUAUUACAAAGAUAAGAUAAAUUUUCAAACUUCGUUAGGACGUGGUUGUAGAUCGCAUGAAAUAAGAAAAGUUUAUUUUGGGCAAUUGAUUUUCUCAAGACUACUCCAUGUCCAAUCCUACAUGACAAGUCUUUCACACAGUCCGGAAAUUUGGAGCAUCAGGUUUCUCCUAGAAUUUUGGAGCCACAAACAAAUAAAAAGUACUAGCAUGUAGAUUCUUAUGCCACAAAACUAAGCUUUUAGCAAAUAGUCUUUGCUCUCAAAAGAAAAAAGAACUGCUAGAGUUGGUUGAUGAUGAUGUUUUAUAAAUCAAUGAGGAAUCAUAUAGUGCAUCAAACCGGGGACUUCAAUACCACCACAUUUUCAGAGUCCAUGUGAUAAUUGUUCUUUGAAUCUCUUCUUCACACUAGAAGAAGCACAGAUUAAGUAAAGUAUGACAAUGGGAAAGAGAAACGUUGCUGCAAGAAAACGGGAAAAAAGAAAUGAAGAAAACAACAAAAUUGAAAUAUUCAUCUUGGAGACUCUGCUGGAAAUAAUAAGGUCUACCAACUGUAGAUGCAGAGAAAAAGUGCAGUAUUUACUUUGGAGAAAGAAAUAAACCCAACCUCUUUCAAUUGGACAGAGAAAGCAUCCGGGCAGAUAGAGUUGAGAUCACAACAAACAUCAACCACCAUGUUAAUAUUGGUACAGACAGUCACAGCGCCUUGAGCAGCAACUUUUAGAGUGCUUCUCAUAGGGCCGAUCUAUCACACCCCGAAGUCUAUAGGGAUGUGGGUUACACGGCGUUCACCCGAAGGACGCAGUCUCAAAUCACCCAAAGUCCAACUCCAAAAGUCCCCAUGAUGACGCUUUCGCUCUCACGGUCACUAAUUGAGAGACCUAAAAAACAUUUAUAAGAAGAAAUGAAUGAGGUACCAUGGCCUAAUAAAUAAUACAUUUCUUCUAAGUGGAUCAAGCAAUCACUACACACAUCUAAAACACAAACAUAAUUCAUUUUCGCCAAAUCUAGAAAUUUAAUAAACCUUUUAGAUCAAAAUGCAAUAUUUCUUACCUUAACAUAAUAUGUUCAAUGCAAAAAUAUUUAAGAUAAUAACAAGCAAAUACCAAUAAUCCAGUCCAUUGGUCAUCUCAUAAAAAUAAAUGUCAAUGAUUUAUUUCAUUGACCAAUCUCAUAAAAACACAUGCAAAUCGGUUAAUCUCAUACCACACAUCAAUGGUUUAUUCUAUUGAUCCAUCUCAUAUGAACCCACACAUCGAUGGUCCACCCAUCGACCAAUCUUUUGCUUAAUAUCAAACCAUGGUCACGACACAACGCCCAAUAAUAAGGCGACCAAGAUCCCCCUUUGGUUAGGUCUUCACUUAUUAUUUGCCGGUGACUGGUACUAAACUAGUAUGCACAUACCCACAACCCCUCAUUGAGCUUAUAGCGAUAUUGACUAUCAACACCAAUCCACAAUAACCUCCAUAAUUCACAAAGCCAAAACAAAAUAUAGGUUUCGCAAAUCAGAACAUAUAAUCUUUCUGCAAACCAACUCAUUCACCAUAAAUACUUUUCGUAAAACAUUUCUUAAAUCAUUUUAGAACUCGUUUCUUAAACCAAAAUAAAUUUCACUUACCUUUUUACAACACAUUGCAUAAACCAAGUUCACAAAUCAACAUGUAUAUAUAAAUAUGAGCUUUUGCAAUAACUUUCCAAAAACAUUUAGCAAGCCAUUCACAAAUACCAAAUCGUAAUAAAUGCUUGAUGCAGAUUUUAUGCAAUAAGACAUGCUUUCAAUAACUUAUUAACUUUCAAGACAUGAAUUUACAAACUCAGAAAUAAUGAUAUCACUCACGUGGGAAAGCCAAAACCAAGCUACUAUAGUUAGUCAAGCUCACUUACUCGGAUUCCUAACAAUUAAUGGAAAAACAAUAUCAAAAGACCGAGCAAAACGAUAUUCUUAUGAAUGACUUGACUGCACUAUGCCUAUUCAUCAAUAAAAUGACAUCUACGCGCCAACCAACACUUGCCUACAGCGGAAAUGUAUUGUUGUCCCAUGUGCACACCGCACGCUCUAAACUUUUUUGGGUCAUAAUUUCCUCCACAUAUGUUUGUUUCAAACAAGCAUAUAGUCCAUAGAAAACAAUUUCGAUGUACUACAACACCACCAACUCAGUCACCCAAAAACUCAUGGAAAAUGGCUGAAAUUCAAGCCUGAAAGUUACCAUUCAAAACUUGACCAGCGAGCGCGACGAACUUUGAAAUUUUGUUUCAAACAAACUAUAAGCUCAAAUCGAAAUUUGUAAAAUUUUACAUUUCACAACACUUUAAACUAUCAUUUUUAUGAAAAUAGACAGCUUAACGACUCAAAAAUCAAACUUCACCAUACGAAUCUCCAAUAAUUCUGAAUUUCAAGUCCAAAAUCCAAAACUACUCCGAUUGAACAAAUGAAGGGCGCGAACGGUUACCGAGUAUUGCAUUACAUAAUUGAGUCAACUUGGUGAGUCGUAUAGAUCACGAGCACAACAAAAUUUUUCCUUUCCUCUUUUCUUGUUUCUCCUUUCUCUUCUUUCCCCUUUUGCCUUCUCUCUCUCUCUCUCUCUCUCUCUCUCUCUCUCUCUAAGCUGAAGUCCACUCUUCUUUUCCUUUCUUCCCUUCUUUUCUUUUAAUUUCUUUCUUUUCUUUCCCUCUAUCCCUCUCCCGAAAGCUCUCGGUCUCUCUUCUCUUCUUGACUGUUCACCGCCGGACCUGCAGCCGUGGAACUAACCGGCAAGAUCUUAUACAAUCCGGACUGUUGUGAAAGUCUAUUUCCUUAAUUUCCAGAUUUGUGCACUUUGAUAGGUCCGGCAACCUCUUGAGAGAUUGGCAAUCAGACAUAGAAAACCUUCUCAAUAGUGAUGCUUGUUCGAGACCAUCAAGGUUGCCAACUUCGCAGCCAGAUAUCUUCAACACUUGCAGGAGCCUUAGGUUCCCAAGACCGAGAAUUUCCGAUGCAUUGCAGUCACAGAGCUCCAAUUCGGACAGAGUUUCCAGAUUAGAGAAAUCUACCCUCUGGCUCUUGCAAUUCUUGAUAAGCAGUUUUGACAAGCUUGAGGGAAGUUGUGGGAGGUUUAGCAGGUUUAUGCAGGACAAAUCAAGUGUUUUAAGUCGAGUAAGAGCAUUAAAAACUUCUGGUAGACUAGUAACAUUUGGAAGGCACAGCUUUAGGGUUUCUAAGUUGGAUAAACUUGAUAUCCAGCCGAAGCUUUCCGUUUGGGACAUCUCAGAGGAAGGUAUGUCCCCCUCAUCAGGAACAUCAACUAAUUCCAGAUCUUUCAAAUCCCUCAAAUAUGAAAAAUCCUGAACUACCCUCAUGUUUUUGGCUCCCCAGCGCAAACUCACUAAACUAGAUGGUAGUUUUGGUAGAGUCUGAAGUUCCUCGCAGCCAAGCAAAUUGAGGGUCUGGAGAUGAGAAAGAUGACAAAGGCACUCUGGUAGGCUACAAAUCAGGGUAAACGAUAAGUCCAUAAUUCUCAAAGAUGAUAACCCUGAAAUGUCACGCGGAAUUUCCCCUUCCAUGCUCCGGCAGUUAGAAAACGUUAUGACUUGCAACUUCCCUAGAUUUGCAAUAUCCGUAGGGAAUGUUCUUAUGGGAGUCUUAUUCAUUCUCAGCACCUCCAAUUUAUCCAAAUUUUUUAUCGAUUCUGGCAAUAUCUUAAUUCUGGUGUUUGACAGAUCCAUUUUCUGUAGUGACUGAAGCUUCCCAACGGAGUCCGGAAGUGCAGUUAUCCUCCGACAGUCUCUUAAAGAAAGUUCCACAAGUCCAUCCAACGAUGUAACAUCUCUCGGGAGUCCUUUGAUAUUGGACUCGUCCAAUGCAAGAUAUGACAGAGACUUUAAACAACCAAUAUCCUUGCAUAUUUCAGCCAAAUUUUUGCAGCUGGAAGCGCUGAUAGUUUUAAGUUUCUGCAUAGAACCUCUUAAGAAAUGAAGGUGAUGUAUGGAAGUUUUAUCAACAAAAAUCUCUUUCAAAUUAUCCAAGGAACCCAUCUCCUUCGGCAGCAGGACAAUCCUAGUGGACUUGAUGUUCAAAGACUUCAAAUUUUUCAAAUUACCAGCGGAUUCGUCAAUAACUGAUAAAUGAGAACAUCCUUCAAGAAUCAGUCUUUCUAAUUUGCUAUCAGCUGGGAACCAUGGCGUUUUACGUAAUUGACUGCAACCAGUUAGGUCCAAAACUUUCAAUUUGUUUGCCUUCUGUGGAUCAAAGAGAUAGAAAAAGGUCAGUUUCUAUUAGAUAGUCUUCAUAAAAAAUUGAAAAAAGGAACGUGUCUGAUACCUCCAUUAUUUGUGUCCAACCUUCCCAGUCAUCUGCCACUGUACUCAAUGAUAGAUCAAGUAUGACCAAGUUCUCGAGGCACAAAAUAAGAGGUUCGGAGCUCGUAUGGUACCCUCGCCAAUGAAGCCACCUUAAUUUGAAAAGAAGACCAGUAAAAUUUCCUCUCAUAUUAGCUCGAUCCAAAUUGAGGAACCUUAAUUCCGAUAAUGGGCCAAAUUCUUCAGAUGUGAAACAGUCAUGGGAUCCUUCAUCAAAGGUGAGACCAAGGGCCUGAACUUUUGUAGUACCCUAGCAGCAAAUGAAUCGGAAUUGAACUUUGUCAUAGACUGUCUGAGUUUCUAACAUUUCUUCUACAAAUUGAAAUUUUAAAAGGGACCCGCGCAAACUGAGAAAAAAAAAAAAGUUCUGGUUUUCAGGUUUACCUCCUUCCUCUGUAGGGUGGAUAGGGCUUGAUUGUGCAUCCACAACCUACUUCGAUUACUAGGGAUAGGAUCUUCAUUUGACACAAUACUUCUGCCUAGAGUUCUCAGUAGAUCAUGCGUCAAUAGCUCCUUGUUUUGUCCAAUUUUCACCAAAGACAGGACACGAAGAGCGUCAAUCCCUCUAUGAGGGUAAAGUUCACAGUCCUCCCANNNNNNNNNNNNNNNNNNNNNNNNNNNNNNNNNNNNNNNNNNNNNNNNNNNNNNNNNNNNNNNNNNNNNNNNNNNNNNNNNNNNNNNNNNNNNNNNNNNNUACGUCCAUCCACAACUCAAAAAUAGUUGAUGAAAUCACUUUAGUAGGAACAUGAUUUAAAAUGUAAGGCCAUGUUUUCAAAGCUUCACCCCAUAGAAAAUCAGGUAAAUUAAUCAUACUAAUCAUACCCCUCAUCAUAUCCAUAGUGCGAUUGCGCCUUUUGGCCACACCAUUUUGUCUAGGACUUUCAAACACAGUAAAUUGAGCUACUAUCCCAAAAUCCCAUAAGUAUUUAGCAAACAACCCUUUAAGUUAUCCAACAUCAUCAUGUUUGCCAAAAUACUCACCACCACAAUCAAAUUUGACAAUCUUUAUAAUUUUUCCCAAUUGUUUCUCUACUUCAAUCCGAAAAAUCUUGAAUUUGUCAAGAGACUUGGACUUUUCUUUAAUCAAGUAUAGGUAUCCAUAUCGGGAGUAGUCGUAAAUAAAUGUGAUGAAAUAAAAAUUUCUGGACAAAGUUGUCGUAUAUGGUCCACUAAUAUCAAUAUGAUGAGUUAGAACUUCAAACUGCGGUUUUCUUCCUUAUCUUAGUCAUCUUACCUCCACAAUAGUAUACGCAAGUCUCUAGAUCACUUUUAAGAGUAGGCAAGAUGUCAACCUAUAUAAGUCUGUCUACUCUUUAUCUAAAGAUUUGACCAAGACGUUUAUGCCACAAUGCAUAAGACUAUUUCUUAGGUAAAGGCCUUUUGGAAACAACAUUUUCAGCUGAAUAAAUAAUGUACAUAUCGUUAAGAGAUAACCACGAUCGAUAUAAUCCAUUGAAUAAAUUACAACACCCUACCUGAUUUGAAUUAUAAAAUAUAGAAAUACUAUUGCUUUUUAUUUUAAAAGAGUAUCCACACAUAUCCAAACAAGACAUAGAAACUAAGUUCCGCCUAAAAGAAAGUACGUAAAAAGUGUUUCUCAGCAUCGUCCUAAAACCAGAAUCUAAAAUUAAAAUAACAUCUCUCACAAACUUGACGUCAACUUUAAUGUUAUUUACCACAAUAAACUUUGAUUCAUCUUGAUUUGGCAUCCUUCGGUUUAUGAACAUUUAUAUGGUAAACGCAACAUGAUUAGUUGUACUGCUAUCUAGCCACCAAGAAUUGGACAGGGCUUCAUAUAUGUUGGAUUUACAAACAAAUGCUAAAGAAUCAUUACCUUUAGGCUCACUCUUAGUUCUCUUGGAUAACCAAGCUUUAUAUUUAUUACAUCAUUUCUUCACAUGUCAUCUCUCCCUGCAAAAGUAGCAAAUAACAUCAUCAUUCUUAAAUGAUGCUUUCUUAGGACCCAAACUGUUAGAAAGACUAGUAGCUUUAGCAUUUCCUUUGUUGUUGGAAGAACUAGCAACUUCAGAAUUGCUCUUAUGAGUAUAGUUUUUGAACUUCUUACCCUUAUCAAUACUAGAACCAAAAGCAUAAAGGGCAAUGUGCCAUUUAUCUUUCUUCAAUUUUUCUUCCUCUGUCACCAUCCUUGCAAUCAUGUCAUUAUUGACUAAGUCUUACCUUAAGAACUAUAAUUGAUCUUAAAGGAGGAAGAGUAUUUAGAGCUUCAUGCNNNNNNNNNNNNNNNNNNNNNNNNNNNNNNNNNNNNNNNNNNNNNNNNNNNNNNNNNNNNNNNNNNNNNNNNNNNNNNNNNNNNNNNNNNNNNNNNNNNNUUUCGAUUUCUUCAACGUUUCUUUCCCAUACACCUUGAGUUUUCUUAAACAAACACGAACCUAUCACUCAAGUGCCAAAGGAAGUCGCCCAAGAGCUUUUAUGAUGUCCAUGGAAAGGCUUUCAAAGCCCUUGUCAGGAAAAUCCCUCCCAAAAGCCCGCUUAGAAAACAACUGGAGAGCUUUUUCUUCUUCCAUUGGUUCAACCUCAUAGGUUUCAGCCUUUUCGAACCUCGAAAGGAUGCUGCUGUUUCUAGAAGUCACAAUAAUCCUGCUUCCGGAACCAAAGCAAUUAAGAUCCCCGAUGACCACAUCGAGUUGGUCGUCAUCUUCCACAUUGUCAAGCAGAAUGAGGACCCGCUUCCUGCGAAAUGCUUUAUCAAGAACUGUCAUAGCAUCAUUAGAACACUGAAACGUCACAUUUCUAUUUCGGAGGUUUGAGAUUAAUUGAUUUUGCAAGGACAAGAUCCUAUCAUGUUGAUGCUUUUUUGGAAUUUCCCUAAGAUGACUAUAACCUUGAAAGUAAUGAUAGAGUUGGUUGUAAACAACAUUUGCAAGAGUGGUCUUGCCAACCCCCCCAAUACCGUAUAUUCCAAGGACUCGAACAUCGCUUUCACAAAUUUUAAUUACUUGUCCAUUAUGAUGCACAACACCGAGCUUUCUCAUAAUCUCUUGCACGUGAUGGUCAACUCCAACUAAAUUUUUUGUCACAGUUAGUCGACCCUUCUUCAGCUUUUGCUGAACAACUGGGAUGAGUUUGUCUAUGAGCUCGGAUUGAUGCCUACAGAAAUCAUAUAUGGAGGCAUGAUGAGAAAGUGAAUCAGAACAAUAAUCAUACAGCAGAGCAAAGCAGAAUAUGCAGGGUUGAUCCAAGAGCAAUGCCCCAUGAGGCAAGAACAAAGGAGGCCUUUAAAUACAUUUCCAAAGAUCCUGCAUCUGAAUGGUCUAAGUUGGUCUGAAAGCCAAACGGUUAAGUGGAGUUGCGAAACUAAAAAAGCUUGAAAAAGAAGAAUAAUGUCAGGGAUAGCAUGAUUGGUUUACGAUCUGGCAUAUCAAUUUUGUACGUCAAUUUUAAAUAGAAUUGGAUUACCCGUCAUGUAUUUUUGCCGUUUCAAAUCCCUUUAACGUUCCAAUCUCUUUGAGAGCUAGUCUCCAGUCCUCGAUGGUCUUAUUAUCAACCCCAUUCCUCUUGUGUUUGGAAAAGCUCUCCUCAAAAGGAUGGCCCUGGUCUUUCAAAUCUGAGGGACUGAUUUCAUAGAAAAUGGGAAUGAUUUCUCGACUCAUUGUUUGCUUGCACUCUAAUAUUUGGACCAACUCCAUGAGGCAGCUUUUGCUGGAAGCAUAAUCCCCUGAGAUGAUGGGAAUCAAAACCUCCGACUGUUCGAUUGCUGCAAUCAGCGCGGGCGUGAUCUCUUCUCCGACAGGCAGCUCAUCAUCAUCUCGAAAGACAUGAUNNNNNNNNNNNNNNNNNNNNNNNNNNNNNNNNNNNNNNNNNNNNNNNNNNNNNNNNNNNNNNNNNNNNNNNNNNNNNNNNNNNNNNNNNNNNNNNNNNNNAACGUAGUACCUAAUUUCACAAGAACCAUCAUACUUCAUAUUAAAUAGUGUUUAUAGGUGUGUCCCUAUCUCAGCAUUAGAUGAGACAUAGUUUCUAGCCAAUAAGGCUUCUAUUAUCUAUCUUGCAUGCAGUCUCCAGACAAACCACUUUUCAAAUAUUUCUAAAUGAAAUGUUUCAUGGAUAGCAAGCAAAUUCAAUUGCUCUUUUCUCAAGCAAUAAAAUGUGCUCGCUGAGCUUCUAUACUCUUGACAGUAAGAUUUGCCGGCCGAUCGACAGUAAGAGCCAUAUAAAUAUCUUACAUCUCCAUAGCAAAUAAAAAAUCUUCUCUCCAUCUCUUCAAGUUUGAAUCAGCAAAAACCUCAAUAGCGACGAAGUUACCAUAUACAAAAAAAAAAAAAAAAAAAAAAAAAAAAAAAAAACCGACGGAAAAACAAGCAAUGUAUAUUAUUAGCAUUAUGUGAGCAGUAUGUAACUUAACAUACAAGUACCCAUCUGGAAAAUUACAUGUAAAAUUAUAUAAUCACUUUUGGACAGAAUACUCGACAUGCAGUUAUAUAUUCCCCACAUGACAACAGUUAUAAGAAUAUAUUCUAACAUUCAGGAAUUCAUCACCUUUAGGUGUAUGAACCACUAGGAUCAGUUAUUCCUCCACUACACCAUCAAAAUAUCUUUUCUAUAAAUUAAUACAAAAUCACCUCAUUUGAAAGUAUGAUCAUGCAUUAGAUUAUGAAAUAUCCCAUCAUUAUAUAAGAUCGAUAUUUUUCAAACCCAAUCAAGUGUGCUACUUUGACUGUUGCAACUCAAUUGAAUCCUUGAAACUCUCUCGUACUAGGGAUAUAAACUAUACUUCUCACAUACACCAUAUACAUGUGAUUUUAACUUUAAUGACAAAUGCAAUAUAUCAUUAAAAUCACAUAUCACGCUAAUUAUACUACUUUAUUAUCAAUGUAUCACACUCUUUAUAAUAUCUAUGUGAUAACAUAUCUUAAACCAACACCUGUAUUUCCAAAAUCACGGAAAAAUAUAAGAAAGUAUACCAAAAAUACAGGUAUUUAGCGUUUCGUAUGUAUUUUCACAUUCAUAAAAUCAUCAAACACAUAAAAUAAAUACAUCGCAACAUAGAACAUGACCAUACGAGCAUGUAGCCACCAACCAUGCACCCAUCAGAGGCUCCACGCGCCCGUACGCGCCGCUUGAGGGUGCAACGUGUGGAGCACAUGUGCAAGCAUAUUGGUCCCUUAGAUCCGAUCCAACUAGUAGCGGUUCAACCGAUUCUCUGCUCAUUGUUCGAUUUGACCGGUUGACCAGUCCAGUUGAUGGUAACCCGAUUCGGGCGAGUCAACGCGUCGAAUCUCAGGUCACAAGUCAAGUCAAUAGAUCGGGUCGGGUCUUGCGAAUCGUCAUUUGCUAACAUCGGGAUGUCAUCAACCCUAGUGCGUGUAAUGCAUGCGCUAGCCGCGCCAGCGUGUCAAUGCACAUGAAGGCGCGUAGGUGCGUGCUCAAUGCCCCUAGUAGCACAUGAGGGCACGUAAGGCCUCUCCCGGGGAUGCGCCACUCAUGGUUUUCCUCAUCUUGUCAAGUUCUUUCUGUUUAUAUAAUAAAAAUUGAAGUUUUCUCCACAAAAAAUUAUGAAAAUAGGGUGAAAAAUUUAUGCGUUCAAGUCUUAGGUCAUGGUUACUCUGAUACCAUAUGAUAGAUACUAAAAUGCGCAAUCCCAUAAUCUCCAUAACUAGAACAAAAACACAUAUAAUUGAGUAGAAAGAUUAACGUACAUGUUUUGGAGUCCAUUGUUCUUGAUGCGGAAGCAAAAAUCGAUGAUCCAAGCGUAAGUCAUUCUCCUUUAAUGCCCCCUAUAUCAUUGGCUCAAUGAGACGGACCCCUCACCCUUUAGCGUUAGGUAAACACUCAUUUAUGAGGAUAAUUGUGAAAAUCAAAGUUAGAGGAAAGAUUUGAGUAUUAUUUAUAGAGUUCCCAACCAAGCCCUCUUAUUAUGGGUUAGGUUCAUCUUGGCUCACACUAAUGAGCCAUAUAUUAUACUAAUUAAGAAAUAUUUUAUCUCACCUUAGAUUAACCCGGUAAAAGGGUAAAUUACAAUAUCAAUUAAUGUAGCCCCCAUUAGGAAAACUCUUACAAUCAUAUCAUGAGAAUCCUUGAUGAUGAACAACUUUGGAAAUAAGUACCUACAAUGAAACAUCAAAAUAAGAAACUUAGACAAUUUGGACAUGCUCGCUCAUAUGAUUAGUUCAACAUUUACCUCUAAAGAUAAAAUAUGAAUUUCAAACUUCGUUAGAACACAAUCUAAACCACUAUGGCAUAGUUUGCAUGAAAUAACAAAAGUUCACUUAGGGCAAUUUAUUGUCUUAUAUGUUAUUCCAUGUUUGAUUAGGUAUGACAUUAAAUAAAAAAACUUCUCAAUCACACCAAUUCUAACUCAAUCAAAACUCAACUGGAAAAAGUUAUUCCAACUCAAAUGGAAUCUUAGAGAAGCCCAAUCAGGCACUACAAUGCGUCGGGUGUAAAAAUUCUAAGCUCAAACUGUUGGCGUGAGCUGGAAUUCCCUAAUUUGUAGGGGAUUUUAUUUUCCUUUUGAUUUGUAGAGAACUUUAUUUUCCUAAUCUGUAGAGACUUGACUUGCAGAAGAAGUCCGUCUAAUUGUAUAUGUAUAGAUAUGUACAUACUUGAUGAUCAAGGAGGAAAGCAGAAAAAUAAAAAGAGGGUCGGAGAGGCUACCCCGAAGAUGUAGGCACACUACCAAACCUCGUUAGUUCUUGUGUUUUUCUCCUCUUCUUCUCGAUUUUUAUGUAGAUUGUUAACAUGGUAUUAGAGCAAUAGAUCUACGAACCCAGAAAAACCCUAAACACUAUGUCGUCACCGCCAUUGUGACUCACCCACAUCAGAUCGUUGCUACCACUGUCGAUGUAAUUCAAUAGACCUGCUUGCCACCACGGCACAAUCCUUAUGCCAUUGCCUCUCUGUCCGACUCUAUCAAACUACCACGACAUCUAUUGUUGCCGUGUUGUCUAGAAACUCCAUCUUUGACAAUUACAGCAACACAAAUCGACACGCCGACCAAAUUUCUUUGCCACGAUCCAAAUCACUGCACCGAUCAAACCCUAAACACCCAAAGAUCGCUGUGGUUGCAUCAGUUUUGUGUGGUUGCCGUGCCAACUAGCUCACCAACCCAAGAGAUUCGCUACUCUUUUUAAUUAAUGCCUAUACACUAACUUAUGGUAGAUCAAAAUUCUCCAUGAGUAGUGAUUCCCCAUCAAAAUCAUGGGGAGAGUUCUACAAUAAAUGCGCCUUUGGAAAAUUUAACAACUAAAUUAACUUAUAUUCUAACACAGAAUCAGUCCUCGACCCCAACACCACAGAACGAUCCAUAUUUAGCAUAGAUUGCAAUCAAAUUGGAUGGGAUUAAUUAUGGCUUAUGGUCUCAUGUGGUAGAGAUGUAUAUCACGGGCAAUGACAAGCUAGGAUACAUUAAUGGUGACCUUCCUCAGCCUUUAUCUAUGGACUUGGGGUAUUGGAAGUGGAAGACUAAAGAUUUUGCUAUAAAAGGAUGGCUGAUAAACUCCAUGGACCUGGCUUUAAUCGGUAACUAUAUUUGCUUCCCAGUUGUAAAAACAGUUUAGGAUGUAGUGGUAACUACUUUUUUUUUUUUUUUUUACAGGACCGAUGCUUCUUAGGGUUAUGAUUUGAAGAGGUGUGCGACCUAGAUGAGACAGGUUGGAGGACCCAUUGAAGCUUACUACAAUGGCCUUCAAGGAUUGUGGAGAGAGAUCAACUUUCACUGCCCAAAUCCAAUGGUAUGCCCGGAUGAUAUCGCGAGAUAUUAUUUAGCCAUUCUAGAGGAUUGUGUGCAUUUUCCUUGAUUGUUUAGAUAGUCAGCUAGAUAAGAUACAAGUUGAUAUGCUAUGGAUGUAGCCAUUCCCUAUAGUCGAGCAGGCUUAUGCUCGUGUUCGCGGGGAGAAUAUACGACAAAUAGUGAUAUUGAACAGUGGGAGUACUACCCAUAGUUCUGUGGCUAUGUUGUCGCAAGGAGGCAAGCUUAGGCUCAAAGAAGCUUAGGAGUCGACUUUACAAAUGUUUAAAUUAUGAGGUGGAUGAACUAGCACAGCCCUGAAAUAGAAAACUCCUCCAAUUGGUGGCUGCUCCCAUUAUGGGAAUGCUAAACGUACCCAAGAGACAUGCUUUAAGCUUCAUGGAUAUCCUAAAUGGUAAAAGGAGCUCAAAGAUGGAAAGCAAGCAGAGGGAGAAGUGAACAAUGGCAAAAGGAAGGUGUCUCUAGCCGUGGGAGACUCUCAAUCUUCACUAGUAUCAUAGCUUGAACCAUAGAGUAAGAUACCUAUAGAGGGUAAAGGUAACUAUGGUCUUGCUUUGGUUACUUCUUUAUUGAAUGAUUAUAGUUAGUGGGCUAUUAAAUCAAGGGCUACUGAUCCCAUGACUUUUACUUCAGAUGAUUUUGUUAGUAUUAUAGAACCUCGACGCCUUAGUGUCUCGAAUGCUAACGGAGUGCCAUAUCCAGUGACUGGAGCUGGAGUUGUUAGUAUUUCCCCUUCUCUCUCAUUACCGAAUACACUCCUUGUCUCAUAACUAUCUAUGAAACUAAUUUCAAUUGGGCAGGUUGCAAAGGAAUUAAAUUGUGUCAUGCUAAUGUAUCCGCAUUUCUGUCUAAUCUAGAAUAUCCUCACGAAGCAGAUUACUAGGUGCGGUACUAAGAGGGGGGCUGUAUUACAUGGACAACUUCAGUUCUGGGAAUGUCAAUCAAGUCUGAGGGUGAUCUACAAGUCAAGAAACAUAGAUAUGGCUCUGGCAUAAGCGAUUGGGACAUCCGCUAUUUGGUUACAUGAAGAAGUUAUUUCCUAAGUUAUUUUUGGGUUUGAAUGAUUAUCAGUUUGAUUGUCAAACUUGCAUUUUAGUGAAAAGCCACUAGGUACCUAUUCCUAUCAAUUUAAAUGAAAUUGCAAUUCCUUUCUCUUUGAUUCAUUAUGGUACGUGGGGUGCUUCUCCUAUUACCUCUAUGUUUGAUAGUCAAUGGUUUGUCCUUUUUGUUGAUGAUUGCACUAGAAUGAGAUGGUUAUAUCUAAUGAAAACUAAGGAUGAAGUUGUUAAUGUGUUCAAAAUUUUCCAUACUAUGGUGCAAACUCAAUUUGGUGGGAAGGUCUAAAUCCUAUGCAGUGAUAAUAGUGGUGAGUACAUUAAUCAUUAUCUUGAAGAAUAUUUUCUACAGCAUGGCUUACUCCAUGAAACAUCAUGCUCACGAAUGCUCCAACGAAAUGGGGUAGCAAAAAAGAAGAAUAGGCAUAUCCUUGAGACAGCUUGAUCUUUAUUAUUUGAAAAUAAUGUCUUGUACUGUUUCUUAGAUAAUGCAGCGGCUACAGCCAUCCACCUUAUUAAUCGAAUGCCAUCGAAGGCGUUAGAAUUUCAAACACCAUUGGAGGCUCUCUCCACUCAUGUACACUUACCAUUGAUUCUUACUAUCUCCCCUUAGGUGUUUGGUUGCAUCACCUUUCCUCACAUUCUCAAAACACAACGCAUAAAACUUGAACUGUGUGCUGUGCGCUAUGUGUUUUCAGGCUAUGGUUCACAAUCAAAAGGGUAGCAGUGCUAUAAUCCAUCUACAAAGAAGACAUAUGUUACAAUGGAUGUGACAUUCAUUGCGAUAGAAUCUUUCUUUCGGGACACCAGUUCUUCUUUUCAGGGGGAGAUAUAGAUGAACAAGAAGAAUAGGGGGAGACCGGUGCUAGUAUUAUGGCCCCACGGGGAGUACAACUCGGUGGAGUGUCAGUAUUGCUGUCUGCAGCUAGGGUCGAACUAGGCCAAAAUUUACCAACGGAUGAUGAGGAAGAAAGCUUGGAAUGUAGGUUAGGUGUUUUGGAAAUUUCAAAGCAAAUCCUGUUAGGGGAAGGUUAGGUCCUCGAGGAGCUGAGUUUACAAGAUCAUUUGGCUCUUCCAGAAUAGCUUCCCCCAUCAUCUUCAAUGCCCGACCCAACUCCUAAGGAAAUUUUUGAGUUAACUUCUCCUACUACUAGUUUACAUGAUGAUUCUAAUAUUUCUAUGGGAUAUAAAUUGCCUGCUAGGCACAACUGAGGAAAGCCCCCGAGCCGAUACUCACUAGAUGGUGGAGGGAAUAAGAAGUUUGUCUAUCCAAUCACUAACUAUGUUUUGGUUGACAGAUUGUCUGAGCCAUUGAGGGCAUUUGUUUCAAAUGUAUCAUCAGCUUAUAUUCUAGAUGGAGUAUAGGACGCCUUGACUAAGUGAGUUCAAGCUAUGAAGGAAGAGAUGGAAGCAUUGCUGAAAAACAAUACUUGGAAGCUAGUUUAACUACCUGAAAGGAAGAAAAUAGUAAGAUGCAAAUGGGUGUUUUCGGUUGAGUAUAGAGCAGAUGGGUCAAUUGAAAGGUAUAAGGCAAGGUUGGCAGCACAAGGAUAUACACAAACAUUUGGGGUAGAUUUUUAGGAAACCUUUUCACCUAUUGCAAAACUAAAUACUAUACAAGUGUUAUUGUCUCUUGUAGCUAAUUUAGAUUGGCUUUUACACCAAUUUGAUGUCAAGAACGCAUUCUCCAUGGUGACCUAGAAGAGAAGAUCUAUAUGGAUAUUCCACCCAAUUAUAGUCUUUCUUCACAACUAGAACCGGUUUGUAAAUUGAAGUGAUCAUUGUAUGGAUUGAAACACUGUCCUCGAGCUUGGUCUGGACAGUUCAGUGUGGCUAUGAAAAGGUAUGGGUAUGUUCAGAGUGAUUCUGAUCACACCAUAUUCUCGAGGCGAAGUCGAGGUAAGAUAACUAUGUGGAUUAUCUAUGUAGAUGAUAUAAUUAUCACAUGUGAUGAUCAAGAGGAAAUCACAAAAUCAUAGUAGAAGCUCUCAACAAAGUUUGAGAUAGAAAAACUUGAUGGACUCAAGUACUUCUUAGGGAUAGAUGUAGCAAGAUCUAAGAGAGGUAUUUUUCUAUCUUAGAGAAAGUAUAUUUUGGAUUUGUUGGUUGAGGUGGGAAUGCUAGAUUACAAAGCUGCAAACACAUCGAUUGUUCAAAAUCACAAACUUGGAAAGUAUUCUAAUAAGGUGCAUACAAAUAAAGAAAGAUAUCAAAGGUUAGUUGGCAAACUAAUUUAUUUGUCACAAACAUGUCCUAAUAUUGCUUAUGCAGUUAAUGUUGUAAGUUAAUUUACACAUGCUCUGAGUGAAGACCAUAUGGAUGGUGUAAUGCGAAUAUGUCGAUAUUUAAAGGGAGCUUCGGGGAGAGGGUUUCAGUUUUAGAAGAGUGACCAUCUUAAGAUCAAAGGUUUUACUGACGUAGACUGGGUUGGAAGUAUGUCAGACGGAAGAUCAACUUCAAAGUACUUUAAAAAAGCAAAAAGUAGUAACUCUCUCAAGUGCAGAGGUAGAGUUUAAAGGAAUGGCCAAGGGAUUGUGCGAACUCCUAUGGCUUCGGAAACUAAUGAUAGAACUUUGUUUUACUCGUGUUUAAAAUGGAGUUGUUUUGUAAUAACAAAGCAACUAUUGAUAUCUCUCAUAAUUCUGUCUAACAUGAUCACACCAAACAUACUGAGGUGGAUUGUCACUUCAUUAAGCAGAACUUGGACUCCAAGGUGAUUCAACUUCCAUUCAUGAAAUCCAAAGACCAACAAACAUAUAUCUUGACACGGGUUGUUUUAAGCAGGGCAUUCUAUAGCUCACUAGACAAGUUGAGCAUGCGAGAUAUCUACCCGCCAACUUGAGGGGAAGUGUUGGCGUAAGCUGGAAUUCCCUAAUCUGUAAGGGAUUUUAUUUUCCAACGCCUAAUUUUUAGGGGAUUUUAUUUUCCUUAUGACUUGUAGAGGAUUCUAUUUUCCUAAUCCGUAGAGGCUUGACUUGUAGAAGAAGUUUGUCUAAUUGUAUAUAUAUAAUGAUUAAGGAGGAAAAAAGAAAAAUAAAGAGAGGGUUGGACAGGCUUCCUCGAGGAUGUAGGCACACUGCCGAACCUCGUUAAUUCUCGUGUUUUUCUCCUCUUCUUCUUGAUCUGCAUUUAGAUUGUUAAGACAAACAACCACUUAAUCCAAGCAUCUAAAACCAUUUCUUUUCUCUAUCUCUCUCACCCCUCACUGAAGUCUCCUUUCGUGUCAAACCAAGAAGAACGAGAAGAAGAAGAGGAUAGAGAAACACAUGGUGCUGGCGACAUCAUUGAGGCUCUGGCAACCUCCACUAGCUCUUUCUGGUGAUGGGUGAUAGUCCACUGAUGAGGACUUUUGGCUGUUUUUUAAAGCUUGGAUCUUUUUUAAUAAAAAAAUGCUAUAUAUAAGAGACGAAAUAAUAAAAAGAAAAAUGUUACGUCAACACUUAUCUCUAAGGAAUUUAAUAAAGUUAACAAAAUGAUUUGGUUGCACUAAUUUAAUAAAUUUUAUGAAUGGAUUGCACUGAAAGUUUAAGACUCUAUUGCACUCUUACAACAAGUUUUAGAGUUUUUGAUACACUUAUCUUGAAAAAAAUAAAAUAAUGGUAUGAAGAACCCUACCAAUCAUAUGCUAAAACCUGACAAUAAUGGUAUUUGGGAAUAUAUUAAUGAUAUCUACUGAUCAAUAUUCAUCAAAUAACAUGUAUUUCAGUUCUCAACACGUAAAAUGUAGUGCUUAAGUUUUCAGCAUUUCUUUUCUAGUUUUAUCAAACAAGCCCUAAGUGCCAAUACCAAUUUAUGAUCAAUUCCGUCUGACCUCCAGCAGUGAACUUAAAGUUCUAGUGUCUUUUCAUAAAUUAAUACUAGCUUUAAGGCAAUACCCAGAGCAAUUAACUUCUUUGAGCCUUGAUUAAACCAAUUAAGGACAAUUGAUGAAGCCAACCAGUCAAGACUAGACAAAGCAAAUCGACCAUGCUAGAUUAACUAUAUAGCCGUUUAUGAAUAGUUAAUGGGUAGUGUGAGAAUUAGAGAAAGGUUUGAAGAGGAAGAUCAUGGGAAUUAGAGACUACACACAUAUAUUUAUAUCAUGGAAAAUGACACAAAUAGUUCAUAAACUUCGGUCCAAUGUGGAACAUUAUCCUUGUACUUAUAAUUUGUUAGAUAUGUCACUCGAAUCAUUUUCAGUUGUUCAAUGUUAUUCAUAAACUUUCAAUUUGUUCAAUUUAGUUCUAUAACUUUCAUAAAAAGUCAUAAGUUUUCAUAAUUACAUUAUUGCAUAGUAAUAUCUUUUCAAUUCGAUCAAUUUCGUAUAUAAACAAUAUAUGACUUUUUUUUUAUUAUUUGUUUACCUUUUUUUAUCUUUAUAUAUAUAUAUAUAUAUAUAUAUAUAUAUAUAUAUUGUGAUAGUUCCAAUUAUGAUCUUUAUAAUAGUAAAAGUUAUACCUCAUCUAGCGCUGUAUCAAUUUGAUAUUUCUACUAUUUUAAUUUUCUAAUUUGCAUAUUCAACUAAAAUUAAUUGAGCAAAUACGAAACAUCAAAAACUAAAAAAAAAAAAAAUCUAUUAGAAAAAUUAGGCUCAUGAUUUAUAUUAUGUAUGUGAAAUCUAUAGAUAAAAUAAUAUCAUUACUAAAUAUUCUUUUGAAAUUACUUUUUUUUAUUAAAAAAAGGAACAUGAAUAUGAUAUGACUUUAUGGAUUAUAUAUUUGCUAUUAUAAAAAUAAUAAUUUAAAAUAUACUUAAAUGAAACCAUAGUAAUAUUUAUAAAGACCAAAAAGGUAAAAAGUAAUACAGAGAUAUCAAAUUUUUGUUGAUUUAGAAAAUGGAUUGAAAUGAAAAUAUAUUUUAAAAUUUGGGCAAUGGUGUGAAUAUGAAAACUUGUGAAGGACUAAAUUAAACAUUUAAUAAAAAUUCUAUGACUAUAUUAAACAAAUUAAAUGUCGAAAGAUGACAUUGCAUACUAAGCUAUAGUUUAGGAAUAAUUAGCAUUAUUUUCCCUUCAUACUAUGUUCAACAUAUUACAAAACAGAAAAACCCACAAUUUUUUUUUGAUCGAAAGAAAAACCCACAAUUAAACACACAUUUACUAUAUGAUUUUAUCUCUCAUUCCUAACACUCUCUCCUAAACUAGAGCAUAAAUAUCAUGUAUACCCAGCUUGUUACAUAUAUACUUGACUUAGGGACUCAUUAGAGUUUUAAUGAAUACAUCAACUUACUGAUUAUUAAUUCUAACAAACAAAUUGCUAAUUUCCUGAUGUCGUAUUUUUUCUUAAACAAAAUGAUAAUCAACCUCUAUAUAUUUUGCUCUCUCAUGAAAAACAAGACUCAAAGAAAUAUGCACUGCUUCCUGAUGACAAAACAACGUCAUCCAUUGUGAUUACGUCAUACUGAAUCAUCAGCUCAUGCACAACCUUCUCGCAAUGUCCUUCCAAUCCUGGAUUUGUCUUAAAAAUUGACAUUUAGGCCAUCUACAGACUCCUUUUUAGUAACAGCAAUAUCAAGAGGAUCUGAAAUGAGAGGAUUCAAAGGUUAGUUACUACCCCUUCAAUCAUACCAGGACUUCGCUUUUCUUCCAUCACCCAUGUCGAGCAGAUUGCUGUGCCAUGAAUUUGAUUCGGGUCCUCUUGGAGUAAGUCAAAUUCUGGUGGCAAACAUUGCUUUAUGAUUUUCGAUUUUUAAAAAAUAUAAAAUGACAUACCUCACUUUCGACCAAUGAUCACUUGCUAACCUCUAUUCUUACAAAAACUAUUUGCAUACCUCCAAGCAAAACCUUACAUUUAAAGGCCAAAUUGUCUUUUUUGGAAAACUCAUUUUAUGUGAUUUAGUUUUUAGUUGAUUUUGAACAUAUUGAGUGGCCGUGAAAAAGUUUAUGAUUAGGAAAUGGGUGUUUUUGAACAAAAAUGACAUUUUCAUAAAUAAGGACACAAAGAUAAUUGAUGUGAAGGUGCAAAGUGAUAUCCAGGCAUAAAAGUUGGGUUUGUGUUUGGUGUUUUGAGAUAUGUAAGUGGCACCUCAAUUAAAAGUGAGAUAUGCUUUUGGUAUUUUUCCUUAAUUGUUUUUCACCCACAUCAAUAAUGAACCGAUGAACCGAUUAAUAAAUAAGAUUAAUACCACGAGAAAUUCCAAACCGAUAUACUUGUAACAAAUAUACUCUAAACUAAUUUUUUGACUAUAAAGGGUCCGUUCAUUUUGCGGAACAUAACUUCUGGGAAAAUAUUUUUCGGAAAUUCCCGUGUUUGGGGGCGGAAAAUAAACAGUCAAAGAAAACAUUUUCGGGUCAACGAAAAAUUCCUUCCUAACACUGUGGAAAAUGAUUUCCCCUUUUCAAAAAAGGAAAUCAUUUUCCCUUACGCAUGGACUCUGUCGCGCUUCUUUCCCUAAGGAUUCUUUGAUCUCAUCUCCUCCUCCUCGGAGCAUCCCCUCAUCGCACGAUCAACGAACUCUGCUGAGUCGCACACUUGCCUCGAAUGGUUUUCCCUCGCCGGAAGCAAAGAAUAUUUGCGAUCCAGGUACGCGCCUCUUGCUUCAGCCGUCGGAUGGUUUUCCCCCGGCCGGCCGCGUGAAUCGCCGACGUUUGAUUUCGUGUCUCUACUCUGUUUUCACUUUUUUCCUUUGCUCGGAUGUUUCGGAUUCUCAAUUUACUCAUGUUGUAGAAAUUGUUUGCGGAUGUGAUUUUGCUGUUGUGCUAUUCUUUGAUCUCGGUGGUGAUUGUGGUCUGAGCCGCGCCCACCCAGGUGUUUCCUAAAUGCACGGAACAUCUUUGGAUAGUGAUGCGUUCCGUUUUUUUUUUUUUCUGGAUUUUCGAGAUUGUGUUGUCGAGAGGUGCAGAGAUGAUGGUGUCUAGAUAGGAGAAGAUUUUUUCUUCGGGAUGCAUAUGCCUCUCGUUCGCGGAUGUCCACUAAUUUUGUCUAGGAUCAUCAGCCUUUUCAUCAUUCGCUUGGAGCUUCAGUGAAUAUGCGUUGUUUUUUUUUUUUUUUUGUGAUGAUCCUUUCUUCAUUGUGGACCUCGCUGUCGUAUCAUGUUGAUUUUUGUAGCUUUGAAGUUCUAGUUCUCCCUUGUUAUCUUUGUGUCGUUUGGGCUGCUUGAUGAUAGGACUCCUGGUCGGUUACAUAAGCGUGGUGAUGCACGUCCCAGAGGUUUACUUCUGGGGCAGUCACCUUUCCCCUGAAAAUCAAUUCGAUGCUCUCUGAGAAGAAAUAGCUUCUCUAUGUGCUGCAAUUAUCAUUACAUGCCCUUGUUUUAGGCAAUUUGGCAAUCGGCCUGAAAAAUUUCGCCUUUAAAAAUAGGUGCUGUGUUAGUGGUCCAGUGGUGUUCUAUGUGUGUCUAGGGAGUGAUAAGAGUUACGGAGCGUGUGCCAGUUAUAGGAAUCACAUGCUGUUUAAUGAGAUUACAAUUCCAUGAUUCUAUACUCAUAAACACUUCUUCUACACCUUUGUUUAGUAUUUUUUGAUCAUUCCUUUCACUAUGGCUGCCCACUGGAAGUUUGAGCGCAGCUCUUUUUUAACCAACAAAAGGUGAUUAUAGCCUUUGGAAUAUCAACUUUUCAACUAUUAGCCAUAUGAGUGGCCUGGUUGCUGUUUUAUUGUCUGAAGAGACUAAAAUCUGGUGAUAUUGAUCACAUUCCCUGUUGACAAAAGAAAAGACAUCCACCGAGUCAUUUUCUCGACUUACUUUUCGACUUUUUGUUUUCAGUCCCAUUUGGUUUGUAGGAUUUUUGAAUGCUUACUUUUUGCCUUUAUUUUCAGUACGUGCUCUUGUGUUUGCAUUCCAUUAACAAGUUUUGCUAACUCUGUUUUUGUUUCAAGUUGUCCCUCCUUUGUGGGUUUUCUUGAUACUUGGCAGUAAGGGUAUUUCAGCUUCUGCUCUGCCCUACAAGAGAACUCCUCUGAGCUAGCUCAAGAUUUCUUCUCAAGAUGUAAGAACAUUUUCAGCUUUGUUUGUUUUUGUGGGAUAAUGGGUAGUUUGUAGCUGUCGCCUUCCUCUCAGGAUCUGGUAUAAGAUGUUUUUGUAAGGUACUUGGUGCAAGUAACUUAUUGCGUUCUACUGUAAAUGUUUCUAUUAUGGAGCAAGUUAUGGUAUUUUGUCAUAUCAUUGGACAUAAUGUGAGGUUUUCCCCUCUCUUUUUUAUUUCCUCUUGUUUGAUUAGAGGAGUUCAGUGGAGCUUUUACUCAUAUUUCUCUUUCUUGGUUUGCUCUGGAUUACUGGGCACACCUCAUUUUGAACAUACUGGAAAGUCUUCUAAGAAUUUGUCCACUGCUCAUGCAAUUUAACAAUUUUAGUGAGAAAGAGUUGGGGAUCAGCGUGAACUUGACGGGAGUCUUCUUGGGGACCAAGCACGCUGCUCAAGCCAUGAUGCCGUCGCGGAGCGGAAGCAUCAUCAAUGUCGGCAACGUCAGCUCGAGCGUGGGCGGGGUCGCGUCCCACGCAUACACUAGCUCCAAGCACGCCGUCAUGGGGCUCACGAGGAACGUGGCCACGGAGCUCGGGCGAUAUGGAAUUCGCGUGAACUGUGUCUUGCCUCAUUUCAUUUUAGCGCCAUUGAUAAAGGAGUUCUUCAAAAUUGACGAGAGUGCAAGAGUCCGAGUGUAUUCUAACUUAGAUAGGGGUGGUGAGUCUACAUGAAGAAGAUGUGGCGAAGGCUGCUGUGUAUCUAGGGAGUGACGAGUCCAAGUACACCAGAAAACAUUUUUCGAAACAUUUUCAGAUUUUACUCGAACACCGGAAAAUAUUUUCCGAAACAUUUUCAGGUUUUAGCCGAACACCGGAAAAUAUUGUCAUUUUCUUGGAAAAUGACUUUCGGGAAAAUAUUUUCCAGAAUUGGUCCAUUUUCCGCGAAACGAACGGAGUCUAAAAGUCCUAGACUAGUCAUUUGUGACAAAUUCACCUAAAACUAAUUUUUUUACUAUCAAAAACUUUAAAUUAGUACAUUUAUGACAAAUUUACUCUUCGUUAGUUUCCGUUAAAUUAUAUUAAUACCGUAUAAAAACCACAGAAUAAUAUACCUAUGAUAAACAAAAAGUAAAAUCCCAAACUACUAUAACGGAAAUUAACAAAUGGUAAAUUUGACAGUCAAAUAUAAUGGAAAUUAACAAACGGUAAAUAUGAUUAUAAAAAAAUUAGAUUAAUACCCUUCAAAUGCCACAUGUUAUUCAACUCAGCAAUUUGACAGUCAAAUAUAACGGAAAUUAACAAAUGGUAAAUUUGUCAUAGACGUACCAAUUUCAAGAUUUUGUGAUGAAAAAAUUAAUUUUGAAUAAAUUUGUUACAAAUAUAUCAGUUUGGAGUUUUUCGUGAUAUUAAUCUUAAUAAAUAUGAUUAUAAAAAAAAAUUCACUCCAUUGCUCUCUUGCCAUAAUUGGUCGAUGUUUUUAGCAGUAACUUAUCACGGUCCAUAAAAUUCUUUGUUUUUUUUUUUUUGGUCGAACAUUAAAAUUCUAAUAGAAUACCUUUUUCUUUUUUCAGGCAAAAUUUAUGUUUCGGCAUCCUUGGCAUAUCAAAAUUUCUAUCUUGUCCUCCCUAAUCAUUAUUGGUCGCAGACAUUGCUCAACACCAUUAGAAUUUAUUUUUUUUAACGAUUGUCAAUACGAUCAAUUUAAAAAAAAAAAAAAAACUUUACAGUUUCUAAUGCAUUGAUUUUCUUUGUAUCACACAUAACCAAUGCUUUAAAAGUUUUAUUGUAUAAAUAAAGUAUAAUUAACAACUACUUGGCCACGGGACCUUUAACUCGAAAUGCGUCCUAUUUUUAUUGCUUAGUUCAGAUCGACAUCUUGAUAACCUUAUCAUUAAGAUAGUUAUCUAUGAUAACUGUUUUCAUCCUAAGCUUCCUUCCAAGUCGUCAGUGAAAAUUAUUCAAUUUGACAGCCCUGAAAAAUAUAAGUAGAUAAAGUGUAGGAAAGUCUUCAGUCUCCUGAAGAGGACAACUCCAUGAUUAAAUAAAAUAAACACAAGACUCAAGGGACAAGCAUGAACUUAAAUCAACCACCUAAGAGUCAAUUCAACUCCCAAGAUAACCAGAUUUUUCCAUGACAUGUGAUGCAACCAAACUUCAUCAUUGAUCCAAAUUGUUCUGUUCAGUAGUAUAUUCGCAAUGGCAUUCAUAAAUUAUUACGAUGAUACAAUCGUACAACCUACUACAUGCCCAUCAGAUAUAUUGGCAUAAUUUAUUGUUAGAAUUAGUGACUAGUGAUUGCCAAUAUUUUAGUAACUAAUCGAAGGGAAUUUUUGAUUCCCAAAAACUGGAUUCGACAUUAAAUUGAACCCCUAAACUUGUGCGGAAUAUGAGUAUAGGAAAAACACAUGCAUCACCGAUCCUAAGGCACAUCACAGAAUUGAACGUACCUUGUUAGCCACGGAUUAAACACCAACGCCGAUAUGAGGAAGAGAAACUGAUCCCGUUCGAUCCGAUGACGUCAAUUGGCCUUGAAGGGAAGAGAGUGUCGUCUCUUUUUCCUUGCUGUUCCUUUUUGGAGUGUUUCAAGGGAGAGAGGGAGGAGGAACGUACGUAAAAACCAAAAGGUACGUUCCUCUCUCUCUUUUCUCCCUUAAAUACGUCACAUUCAAAAAAGAAACGUGUCCCUUCAUCAUAUCUCUCUAUCCAUGGGCCCUAAUAUUGUGGGCCGGGCUUUUAGGCCCAACAUGGGCAGACAGGCCAACUUAGGCCCAUCACAUUAAUAAUUAAAACCAUCAUCUCCCACCCGCACAUGGUGGGCCGAACAGGAUCCUCUUUACCUCUCUUCAACAUUCAUACAGGUGAAUAAUCUGUGCGACCAGGAUACUUUGAGAGCUUGUUGCCAUACAUCUGUUAGAAAUAUAUAGCAGCUCAUAAUGGGCAUCACACUCUGAGUAGAUUUAGUAUGCAGUAGCCUAGAUCGAUCGAUCACAUUUAUAUCUCUCUUGAUCUCUUUUAAACAAUGAUAUAUAUUGUAUUCACAAUUAUGAUUAUCCCAAAGACAGUCAUAAUUGGUCGACCAGUGAAUACAAAAACUAUAAUGUGAUUCUCCAAAUUCGAUCUUCCUCUUUCCUUCAAACUCUCAAUUUCAGUUCAAUUUGCUUUUCUAGAAAUGUCCUAUUAGAUCGAAUCAACUCAUGACCAUUAGCAACAUCCUAAGAUAGCAAACACUAAAUAGAAAUCUUGAGAGUAAGUAAGAGUCAUGAGGGCACUCAAAUUGAGGAACUAUUUUCCUCAAGAGUCUCACACAGCAUAAAAGUUGAGAUCAAACUUUUGCCACUCUUAUUAGUCGUCUCAUGUAUACAUAGUAUGAAAUACGUAUUACGGUAUUAACUCUUUUCCCAUGGAGCAUAUGUCUACACCUUCAAUACCAUAUAGAUGAUAGUUCAGACAUAUCCAAUGUCUAACUUGAGUUCACGUAUCUACUCAUUCACAAAAUUCAUUAGAACUCACAUCUGGCAUCUUAAACAGAUAAAAUAAAAUAUAUUAGGUAUUUUACUUUCGGAGAUAGUAUAUAUCAUGUCCUCAUCUUAACACUUAGUUAAGGCAACAUAAAUAUUUUUAAGCUUGAGCUCUCGAUUAUCACCUAGAUAAUAAGCUUAAAAACCGUCUCAUCUCUAUUUAUCACAUAGUAAAUAGAGGCGAUUACUCGUGUGAGUGGACUAAUCUUAUAUCUGUCCGACAUAUUUUCUCAACUUAAUAUAAUGCACUGAGCAUUAAGAUGCAUAAAGAUUAAACAAAGAUUCAUAGGCAUUAAUAAUGAAAAAACACAAAUUCAUAAAUGUGAACAACUAAGGGAAAUUACAAUCCAGUACAUCAAACUCUACGCAAUCCUAGAGAUUUUACAUGACCACAAAACACAUCUCUAGGUAUUGGCUUUGUCAUAGGAUCUGCUAUCAUUCUAUGCGUAGAUAUAUAUUGUAAGUUCACAUCCUUUCGUGCAACCAUAUUUUUGACAAAGUUAUAUUCGGUAUCUAUAUGUUUGGUUUUGCCAUGAUAUUUUGGAUCUUUGGUGUACGCUAUAGCUGCUUGGUUAUCAUAGUUAACCAAUAAUAGAUUUGCAACUUUCUCAAUAACAUUUAAAUGAUCCAAAAAUCUCUUAAGCCAAACUCCUUCUUGUACCGCUGCUGAUAAUACCACAAACUUAGCUUCCAUCAUGGACAAGGCUAUACACGUUUGCUUCUUACUACUCCAUGAUAUGGCGCCAUUGUUCAGUAAGAAAGCAAAUCCAGAGGUAGAUUUUCUUUCAUCUAAAUCUCCUCCCCAAUCAGCAAUUGAAUAGCCUUUAAGUCGCAGAUCAUUUCCUUAGUAAUUCAGCUUGUAAUCAGCAGUUCCCUUCAUAUACUUCAGUAUUCUUUUAACGGCUUUCCAAUGUGUUUGACCUGGAUUUGAUGGUAUCUACUCACCAUUCCAACUGCAAAACAUAUGUCAGGUCUUGUACACAUCAUAGCGUACAUCAAGCUCCCAACAACACUAGCAUAAGGAACAUGUUUCAUUUGUUCCUUCUUAUGUGGAGUCCUUGGACACAGUUUAUAGCUCAAUCAUUCACCUUUUGCAAGAGGAGUGUCUAUGGGUUUACAAUCUUGCAUACGAAAUCGUUCAAGAACCUUAUUUAUAUAUGUUUCUUUGAAAGAGAUAACAAUCUCUUUGAACAAUCUCUUGAAAUCUUAACUCCAAGAAUGUAUGCAGCCUCACCCAUAUCCUUCAUCUCAAAGUUGGAAGACAACCAACUCUUGACAGUAUUAACAAACUCCAUAUUGCUUCCGGCAAUUAGUAUAUCAUCAACAUAUAAUGAUAUGAUCACAAAUUGAUCUUUGGAUAUUUUGAUAUAUACACAAUGAUCCUCAUCUAUCAUUGUAAAAUCAUAUGCCAUUAUGGCAUUAUGAAAAUGUAUAUACCAUUGUCUUGACGACUGCUUAAGGCCAUAUAUCGAUCUCAAAAGUCGACAUACAUUUUCUUCUUGGCCUUUUAUUAUGAAACCGACAGGUUGUUCCAUAUAUAUUUCUUCCUCUAAUUCUCCAUUGAGGAAAGCAGUCUUUACAUCCAUUUGAUGUAACUCAAGAUCCAUACUAGCCACUAUUGCUAGAAUAAUGCGAAUUGAGAUAAAUCUCACUACAGGAGAAAAUGUUUCUUCAUAAUCAAUUCCUUUCUGUUGAUUAUACUCCUUCGCCACUAGGCGAGCAUUAUGUCUUUCUAUUGAACUAUCAGCUUUACGCUUUAUUUUGAGAAUCCACUUGUUCCCACUAGCUUUGCGUCCUUUGGAAGAUCAACUAGUUUCCUAACUUGGUUUGACUUCAUUGACUCAAUCUCCUCUUCCAUUACAUGAAUCCAUUUUUCCUUACUAGGGCAAGUUAAUUAAUAUUUCUUGGCUCAUCCUCAUCUUGUGGAGCAACCAUGAAAGUUUUCCCUUUGAUGUCAAAACGUCGACGGGGAAUACUUUUGCGACUUGUUCACCGUAUGGGAGAUUGUACACUUUGCACAUCAUUCCCCAUCAUGCUCCCACUCGGAUUAGAUAAUGAUGAUAUCAUCUCAUCAUGUGGUUGUAAUUGAGAGUGAGUUAAAUUUAAUUCAUCACUUCUCAUAUUACUCCCACUUGGAUGAACUCCACUAAUAUCAUUAUCUUGAUCCAAGGUUUCAAAUAGGGAGUACUCUUCACCUAUUUCGCCCUUCUUAGGAAAUUCAUUCUCUAAAAAUGUGACAUCCCGUAAUUCAAAUUCAGUUAUACUCCCACUUUCCUGCUCACCUAUGAACACAUAUCCUUUCGAAUGUUCGGAGUAUCUUAUGAAAAUACUAUUCUUUCCUCUGUGACCCAAUUUCCCAAACUUGUGAGAGGGUUCAUGAAUAUAGGCAGCACAACCCCAUGGCUUAAGAAAACUUAAGUUUGAUUUUCUACCUGUCCAUAACUCAUAUGGAAUGGAAGUAACUAAUUUGGAAGGCACCCGGUUACGUAUAUAGACAUCAGUUAACAACACAUCACUCCAAAAAGUGAUAGGUAAGUUAGCAUGCGCCAUCAUGGACCUAACCAUUUCCAGUAGGGUUCUGUUUCUUCUAUCCGCAACACCAUUUUGUUGAGGAGUAUAUGGAAUAGACAAUUGUCUUUCUAUUCCUUUUUCAUCACAUAAUUUUCUAAACUCAUCAAAUAAAUAUUCUCGACCUCGAUCAAAUCUUAAUGCUUUUAUUUUCUUGUCUAAUUGAUUUUCUACCAAGUUCAUAAACUUUUGAAACAACUUAAUGUUUUAGAUUUAUGAGAAAUCAAAUAGACAUAUCCAAAUUGAGUAUAAUCAUCUAUAAAAAUGAUGAAAUAAACAGUCUCAUGCCUUCCUUUCACAUUCAUUGGACCACAAACGUUAGAAUGGAUUAAUUGCAAAAGAAAUUCAACUCUUUUACCUUUUCCAAAUGGUUUUCUUGUCGUUUUCCCUACUAGGCAAUACUCACAUAUGAGCAAAUCGGCUUUUUCAAUGGUGCCCAACAAGCCCUCUUUGGCUAGUCUAUUCAUACGUUGUUGGCCAAUAUGACCAAGUCUAGCAUGCCACACAUUCACAUCAUUAUCAUAUGAAUUAGAAGAUGUGAGAAGGGAAUAACAAACAUUUGCAUUAACAUAGUCAAUAUCUAAUACAAUGAAACCAUCCAGAAAAUAACCACAAUUAUAGAAAUUUGUGUCCAAAAACAAAUCCACACCUCUAUUAUGGAAGUUCAUAUUAAAACCUAGCUUGACCAACACUAAAACAGAUACUAAAUUCCGACGAAUCUUUGGAGCAUACAAUACAUCAUGUAGGAAUAAAGUGCGUUCACCACGCAUAUUCAAUUGGCAGGUGCCAAUUCCUUUUACUUUAGCUCUGGAGUUGUUUCCUACAUAGAUCUAUUUAGUUACAGUUGGUACUCGUCGGAAUUCCACGAAAGAUUCUCUAUCAUUCGCUACACGGUUUGUUACUCAUGAAUCCACAAUCCACAAAGGAUUAGACUCAUUUAAGAAUACAGAACUCGACACAUAAGCAAAGUUCUAAAAAGAACAGGGGGUGUAUACCUUCUUUGGCUCACGACAGUCAUGAGCAUAGUGACCCUUCUUGUCACAAUCGUAACACUUCACCCUUGUAAGCUUCUUCAUUCAAGGACGCUUUCCUCUUUCAUAUUGGUUAAGCUUAGGUUUCUUCCCUGAAUGACUUGCUUCCUUGCCUUUCCCUUUAUCGAACUAGUUAAGACGUUUACGCUUAGAGCUCGAAGCUCCAUGUGAGCUAGAACCAGUAUGAUAGAUUUCAGCCUCCAGCUUAGCCGCCAAGAGGCGGUCCUCUUCCAGCUCAAGAUGACGCACUGCAUCCUCAAAGGUUUUGAUAUUCUCAUUAUGGGUCAAGUGCACCUUCAUAUGCUCCCAACUCUGAGGCAAUGAACGAAUCACUGCUUGCACUUGCUGCUCAUUAGUCAGGACAUGGCCAGCAUCUUUCAGCUCAUUAAUCAUAUUUGACAUAUUUCUAAAAUGUUACUUCAUGGUCUGACCAUGAGACUUCCUAUAAGAGUCAAACCUAAUAGUAAGCUGCCUCAGUCUGGUCACCGAAGUAUGACCAAAUCUUGCUGCCAAUGCUUCCCAUAUUUCCUUGCCAUUCUCAAAACGCUUGAACUCUCACAUGACGUCAUUUUCCAUGCUACUCAACAACGUAAUGCGAUCAAGAGAGUUCUUUCUUUUCCAUACAACAAAUGCUUCCUUAUCUCUCUCGUGCUGUGCAAUAUUUCCUUCUUCAUAUUCUACCAUGAUCAGGUUAAGAGCUUCUAGUGCCUCUUGCUCUUCCAGCACAUAUUGGAUUUGCAUGUGCCAUAUUUCAUAGUUAUCACCAUUGAGCUUUUCACCUUUGUUCGGCUCGGCAACUAUGCUAUUUGUGGCUGAAGCUAUUGAUCUGAACACAUUAGACAUAUAUGAACAAAUUAUUAAUACCUAUCAUUUAUGCAUCCAUUUUGCACAGACCCAUCAUAUUAAUGAACAAUUUCAAGUAAGGUUUCAUAAUCAAAAGGUCACUACGUUUCCAAUUAUCCUCCAAAAAUCCAAACUUAAAACUAUUAUUAAUAUAAUUGUCUUAUGCAAAAUAAAUUCUAUGAAGCUACAAAAACUUCUAUGAAAUACCAACAGCAGUCAACAAUAACAGAAAGUAAAUAAUAUUUGACAUCCAAGAGAAUAUUAAUGCUUUCACAUAAUACAACUAACAUAUCAGUUGCCACACCAACAAUAACUAGGUAGAAAAAUAUUACAAGAGAUGUCCACAAAGCACACUAAACAAAGACUAGCCAAUACAUCUAACACCAAGUCAAUACACGAACUGGAAAAGAUCCUCUUUUGUUUAAUUUCUUGAUAUUUUCCCUUGUAACAAUCCAGUAAUAAUCAUCUAUAAAAUUCAUCACAAUUUUCCUAUAUGAAGCGGCUUUGUUGACAUCCCAUAUGCGAUUCAACACUCCUUACCAUUCUUAUGGAAGAGUGUUCAUGAAAAAUCACACAAUCUUAGACUGUGGCAUAGGACGACCAUUCCAUAUAACCUUUCAAAUUUUCCCGUUGAUUUCAAGAACGUGAUCAAUUAAGCCACUACUCUCCCAUCGAUGAUCAGUCAGCUCAGCUAUCAACUUAGAAAGCAUUUCCUUUUGUUCAUCGGUAAUUGCGCGAACAGGUGUGCGCAACCUAAGGGGAGGCAUUGUUCCUGCAAUAAAUGCAGAACAAAUAAGGGAUCACGUAUAAUCCACAUAGACUUAAUUGGAAAAAGAAACACAUUCUUUUCCUUUUUUUUUUUGUCAACAGUCAAAAUCAACGGUCAACGGUCAACUGUCAACUGUCAACGAUGGCAGGGUCGAGGUCAACGGGUGGUCGGGUCGGGUCGGGCCGGUCUGACCGGUCGGGUCGGUCGGGUGGACCGACCCGGCACGUGCGGCACACGUGCAGCUAACGUCACAAUGACGUCAGCUGAUGCGUGCCUCGCAUGCGCCAUCAACGGCCCCCCGCACAUGUGCGUCGGCCCCAAGCGUGCGUGCGAUGCACGCGCUUGCGUCGUCAUAUCGGCGCAUCGCUCCAGCUGCGAGUGAGGGCGCGUCCGGCAGCCUUUGGCGGCAUUCUGCCACUCGUCGCGCUCGUCUCGACGAGACCUUCCAUCCAACGCCAUCAGAAAUGGAUUUCGACUUACAAAAACUCGAAAAAAUGGAUGAACAAUGCUCGGGUGUCGGGAUUUUUCCGCCCCGAUCAGUGUCGGCCGAUUAAUUUCACGAAAAAUCAAUAAGAAAUCAUCCAUAAACAUGAAAUGUGACGACCCGAGCGGCGGUGCGCGGGGAGGAGGGAUGGCGGUGCGUCCGCGCCUCCGGUCCUCGGACGCGCGCAAGGGAAGGGGAAGGGAUUCCUCUCCCUCUUGUCCCACAUCGCUUAGGGAGGGGUCAUGGGCCUUGUAUAUAAGGCUUGGGUUCCCUUAAACUUGCGUGACGCGUUUUAAAACCGUGAGGACUCAGUGUCCAAAGCGGAUAAUAUCACACAAGUGGGACCCGGGAUGUUACAAAUGGUAUCAGAGCCGACUCCCGACAGCGUGUGGGGCCACAGCGAGGACGCUGUGCUCCCAAGGGGGGGAGAAUGUGACGACCCGAGCGGCGGUGCGCGGGGAGGAGGGAUGGCGGUGCGUCCGCGCCUCCGGUUCUCGGACGCGCGCAAGGGAAGGGGAAGGGAUUCCUCUCCCUCUUGUCCCACAUCGCUUAGGGAGGGGUCAUGGGCCUUGUAUAUAAGGCUUGGGUUCCCUUAAACUUGCAUGACGCGUUUUAAAACCGUGAGGACUCAGUGUCCAAAGCGGAUAAUAUCACACAAGUGGGACCCGGGAUGUUACAUGAAAGGGGUUGGGAAAACCAUGGAAAAGGAUCGGGAAACAAGAACUACGGCUCUGACACCAAUGAAGGGAAUUUCUGAUUCCCAAAAACUGGAUUCGACACUAAAUCGAACCCAUAAACUUGUGCGGAAGACAAGCCCGGGAAAAACACAUGCAUCACCGAUCCUAAGGCACAUCACAGAAUCGAACGUACCUUAUUAGCCACAGAUUAAACACCAACGCCGAUAUGAGGAAGAAAAACUGAUCCCGUUCAAUUUGAUGACGUCAAUUGGCCUUGAAGGGAAGAGAGUGUCGUCUCUUUUUCCUUACUAUUCCUUUUUGGAGUGUUUCAAGGGAGAGAGGGAGGAGGAACGUACGUAAAAAUCAAAAGGUACGUUCCUCCCUCUCUUUUCUCCCUUAAAUAUGUCCCCUCCAGAAAAGAAACGUGUCCCUUCAUCAUAUCCCUCUAUCCAUGGGCCUUAAUAUUGUGGGCCGGGCUUUUAAGCACAACAUGGGUGGACGGGCCAACUUGGGCCCAUCACAUUAAUAAUUAAAACCGUCACUAACCAACUAUAUUAUAUUCACCACUCAAAACUAAAUCAUAUUGAUAAUGAUAACUAAUAAUAUACCGUUGGACUUAGGAAUUAGAAAAAUUUAAUUGUAUUGGUAACUUACAGACAUUCACGUGCCAACUGGUAAAAUCUCAAAACAAGUGGAAUUAUACUAUCGGGUUUGCUGAUGAUAAAACUAUUAUUUCGUUAGUAACUACAAAUAGUUGCUUCACUUGUCCCCUUGUCAAAUCUAACAAGAGACAGCCUACUACUGGGUUGUCGAUGAUAAAUUUGUUAUUUCACUGAUAAUUUACAAAAUCGUUGACCAGAUUGAUAAGAUAGCGGUCACUUUCUAUGAUAUUUCAAAUUUCCUACCGACCAUAUAUAUACAUGCAGGGAACAAUAGUCCGUUUAUGGCAAACAGAAUUUAGGAAUCUGCCAAACCAAUAUGAAAUCAUCCUGCUACUAUAUAAUUGAGUGUGAGUCCGUCCACUCCAAGCAUUUCCCUGCAACCACGUGUUCAUCAUGCUUCCUACAAUCGUCCGAUAAACAUACAGAAAUCGUAUUUGAGGUUUUUGCUUUGCAGCAAGAGACACAGCGACAAAUGACUAUGGACUAACCAAGACCACUGGUUACAGUGGAGAGAUAUAGAAUACAAUGUACAGCAGUAUUAUACAACAUGGAGAAAACAAAAUCUACAUUUCAUGCAGGUCCUAGAUGAACGGAAUGACAGGCCUUUGUUCCAUAAAUUACAAAGACUUCGUUACACAGCAUCAAAAAGAAGAAAUCUAACAUAACUUGGAAUAAAACUGGCAGAAAUCACAACUGAUGACACAAGGUGCGGUCCGCUUGCUUUUCAAUGUUGACAAAAGGGCACUUCUGUCCUGUCAAAGGCCCUUUUGUUUCUCUCUUACCAUGGCAUGGACAUAAUGCAAUGCUGUGUAUCACUGACCUAUAAGAUAUAACAUAUCAGCUUAUCAGAUGUAUCAUCUCAGCUUAUCUUCACCAGCACCCUUGAUCUUCAACUCACACGUCGUCCUGAAGAAGUUCAAGACCGAACUCUCUUCCCAUCCCCGAGUGAUCUGAAGAAAUGUUCAUUCUGAAUUAUUGAUUCUUUAUUUAUUAGGUACAUGAGCUACCACCUAUCUAAUGUUUCAGCAAACAGACACCUAACAAUGUAAAUAUGUUUAAGUAACACAAUCUCCUUGAUUUACCAUCAAUCAAAGUACCAACUAAUCAAUAUGACGCUAAUGGCAUGUAAUGGCUCAUUCAAUCAUGGGUAGUUGGUUUGGCAUUUAACUCAAAGCAUAUUGGCAUACAAAAAUUUCGUACUUGCAAGAAAAUUACUUAUGUAUCUACAUAUCAAAUGAAUGUUUUCGUUUUUAAUUUCAUGGAUAUCUUUGUGCAGACAUGAUAGUAUAUCCAAAGAGGUGAUUGCAUAUAAAUAUACAAACAGGGACGUUUUCAAAAGUCAACUUAAUAAUACAAUAUAUUGUGUUGCUUACAAACUAGACCGUCUUUCAAUUAUAAAUUGGUUUUUCAUGAUCCUUCUCACGAUUUUAUUCUACACAAUUCAUUUGUCUGAUUCUAUUAUGAGAAUUUAAUUUUUCAAAAGAAUUAUUGAUCAUGAACAAUCUUGGAAACCAAGUACUUUCAAUGAAACAUCAAAACAACAAACUCAGACAAUUUCAAUUUGCUGACUUAGUCACAUGAUUGGGUUGAUUUUUACAUCAAAGGAUAUGAUUUUCAAACUUCAGUUAAACACAAUUUAGACCACUUUGGCAAAAGUUUGCUUGAAAUAAGAAAAGUUCACUUCCGGCAAUUGAUUGUCAAAUUCCAUGUCCAAUCGGGUACAAUGUGCCUGAACAGAUCCCUGUAAUAUGUUCUCCUCAAACGCUUGGAGUCGAAAACAAAAAAAAAGUACUAGCAUGUAAAUUCCUAUGCUGUGAAAAUUUACCAAAUCUUGCUUGGUAAAUCCAUCAAACUUAUAGAUCUCUGUAUUUUGCAAAUAGUUUUUGCUCUCACCAGAUAUAGAGCUGCUAUAGUGGGUUCUUGUCGAUGGUUUAUAGAUCAAUGAGGAACCAUACAGCUCAUUAAACGAUAAACCUUGACACCAACUAUGAUGCAAGCCAAUGGUAGGCUUCUCAAACAAUAGGAUCGGGAGAGUGACUCGCACACGGAAAAACUGGGCAAACACAAAUUUCAGCACUGCGCAAGCUCAGGAGAACAGUCGUAUCUUUGUCGAUACAGAUCGGAUCGACUUGAUUCCAAAGCCAAAUGAACAAAAACUUCUGGAUCUACAAUUUCUAUGUUUUGGGUUUUCUGAAAUAAGCACUGUAGGAUGGUCGAAAUUGGGUUGGAAAUAACGAACAGAAUAUGAAAAGAUAGCAACUCUGUUGGGUGCUCUUCUAGGCCUCCAAGGAAGUUGAGGGGGCACCAAUUCUUCUAGAUCGAUGACUGCAACUCUUCAAGAAUGCAGAUUUCAAAAGCCCCGACCCUUCAAGGACGGAGUGAAAACUCUUCUAGGUUUUCAAAGGGAUGAACUCUACAAGGUUCACGAUACUUGCUUCAAAGCAAAGUUUUUUUCAUUCAUAAAAAGUUGUUCGUCUUCUACAAGAAAAUGGGCUUAUAUCGUCAAAGAAAUAAAGACGGAGCAUUGAAACUAGGAGAAAUAAAGAAGAACAUUAAAACUAAGAGAAAUAAAGACAGAACAUUAAAAUUAGCAGAAAUAGUAGAAGCAUAACGCCUUCAUGGCAAGGUGUCUUUCCAACUUCUGGGAUGGACUCAAGAUGUCGAUACGGCUUCUCGGUUUCGUCGAGCUUGAAUGCGGGCCGAUCUUCUUGGUCGAGAGAGUUGAUCUACAAUGCGGGUUGCAUCAUCCUCCCCAUCUUUAAAAGAAUUCGUCCUCGAAUUCUCGCCAUCAUCAUCAGAAGAAUCUCCCCCCUACUAGGUGCCAACGUAAUCUUCUUGCCUCCAAAUUCAAAAGAAUAUGUAUUUCGAUAGCCAUCAUGCAUAGUCCUCUUAUCGAAUUGCCAUGGUCGACCAAGAAUAAUGUGACUAGCAUCCAUUGGCAAAACAUCACACCAUAUCUUGUCACUAUAAACAGAACCAAUGGAUAGAUUAACAAGACAUCGUUUUGAAGCAGUUACCUCAGCACCUAUCUUCAACCACAACAUUUUAUAAGGCAUAGGGUGCAUUUUUAAUUCCAACUUUAGCUUGCUUGCCGCUACUUCAGAAAUUAUAUUCUCACAACAACCAAAGUCAAUAAUUAAUUAACACACAUUUCCCAUGAUUGUGCAAGCAGAAUGAAAAAUAUUGGUACGCAGCCACCUAUCUCCAAUGUCGUCUCGAGGAGUAAGAAAAAUUUUCCUCACCAUAAGAAGUUCACUAGUGUCAGCAUGCACUAUUUGUUCAUCAUCCGCAACUUCUUCAUCAUUGUUCAACUCCUCUUUGAGUGGAUCCUCAGCAUUCUCAUCAAAAUCAUCAUCCACCGAAAAGGCUUUACUAGCUGGUUGAUUUUUAUUGAUUGGACAAUUGCUAGCACAAUGACCCAACUCCCCACAAGAAUAGCAACGUAUUUCGGACGUAGCAGGUUGCUUCGAAACAUGGGGCUGAGUAGAAGGCUUACUAGCAUACUGCUGUCUCCGAGAACGAGAGCUCUCUAUUUUGAGUGCCCGUUGAUGUGCAUCUCCUAAGUCCCAAAUGUCAAGGACUUCCAAGGCUUCUUGAAUGUUUCAAGUAUUUGUUCACAAGCACAUCCUCUGGGUCCUGGAUAUUGUUACGAAUCACCAACUCAUUGAAUUCAUUGGUGUAUUGGUCCACCGUUUGCAUACCUUGUUUUAGAUUUUGGUAUCGUUGGUAGAGCUCUCUCUUAUAUCCUUUGGGAAGAAAAUAUUUUUGAAUCUUGCCCUCCAUCUUUCUCCAAAAAGUGACUAGUGCUUUGCCAACGGCUUGGCGAGUUUGCUUUUCACGUCUCCACCAAGCAAUGGUCUUGUCUCAGAAUCGCAUAGCAAUGAUCCCAACUCGAUGAUUCUCCGGAACAUUUCGAUGCUCAAAUACCUCAUUCUCAAGUGUUAGCCAAUCAACAAUUUCAUCAGGAGACUCAGUACCUGUAAAUUCUGGAACAUCUUUCUUGACUUCCUUCUCCCAAUCUGGUUCACAAAUAUGUUGUAAACGAUGUCGAACAUGCCUUCGACCGUGAAUAGAUUGAACACUCUUCGAAGAGGAAGAGUCACCAUGGGAAUCUUCAGUCCUGGAACGAGGUGGAGAAUUAUUUGCUUCAGCCCUCAAACGCUGAACUUCUUGCGUCAAUUCGUCAAUUUGUUGUUGCAUAUUCUCAGCGAGUGUGUGCAAUUCAUUGAGGGGAACGGUUCUGCCGCCACGACACCUAGCUUGUCUUGGAGGCAUUGUCCUCUCCUCCAAAGCUCGAUACCAAAUGAUGCAAGCCAAAGAUAGGCUUCUCAAACAAUAGGAUCGGAAGAGUGACUCGCACACGGGAAAACAGGGCGAACAGAAAUUUCAGCACUGUGCAAGCUCAGGAGAACAGUUGUAUCUUUGUCGAUACAGAUUGGAUCGACCUGAUUUCAAAGCCAAAUGAACAAAGACUUCUGGAUCUACAAUUUCUAUGUUUUGGGUUUUCUGAAAUAAGCACUAUAGGAUGGUCGAAAUUGGAUUGGAAAUAACAAACAGAAUAGGAAAAUAUAGAAACUCCGUUGGUUGCUCUUCUAGGCCCCCAAGGAAGUUGACGGGCACCGAUUCUUCUAGAUCGAUGACUACAACUCUUCAAGGAUGCAGAUUUCAAAAGCUCCGACUCUUCAAAGAUAGAGUGAAAACUCUUCUAGGUUUUCAAAGGGAUGAACUCUACAAGGUUUACUUGCUUCAAAGCAAAGUUUUUUUCAUUCAUCAAAAGUCAGUUCAUCUUCUACAAGAAAUUGGGCUUAUAUCGUCAAAGAAAUAAAGACGGAGCAUUGAUACUAGGAGAAAUAAAGACAGAAUAUUAAAACUAAGAGAAAUAAAGAUAGAACAUUAAAAUUAGCAUAAAUAGUCAAAGCAUAACGUCUUCAUGGCAAGGUGUGUCUUUCCAACUUCCGGGAUGGACACAAGAUGUCGGCUUCUCGAUUUCGUCGAGCUUGAAUGCAAGCCGAUCUUCUUGGUUGAGAGAGCUGGUCUUCAAUGCGGGCUGCAUCAAACUCCAUUUAUGUAGUCCAUGAGAUGAUUAUUUCUCGAAUCUAAUCAAUACCAGAAGAAGCACAGAUUUAAUAGAGCAUGACAACGGGAAGUAGAAGAUGUUGCUGUAUGAAAAGAGGAAAAAGGAAAUAAAGAAGAACAAGAAGAUUGCAAUACUGAACUUGGAGGGACUGUUGAUAAUAAUAAGGUCAACCAAUAUCAGAUACAAAGAAAAAGUGCACUGCUCACCUUAAAGAAAAAUAGACACCAAUCUCUUUCAAUUGAAAAUAGAGAGCAUGCUUCGCAGGUUGCUGUUAAGAUCACAAUAUGCACAAACCACCACAUUGAUAUUGGUAUGAACAAUCACAGUGCCUCAAGCAGCAAUUAUGAUAGUGCUUCUCACAGGGCUGAUCCUCAAUGCUGCAAAAGUUUAUUUCCUUAAUUUCCAGACUUGCGCAUUUUGAUAAGUUUGGCAACCUGUUAAGAUAAUAGCAUUCAGACACAGAAAACCUUCUCAAUUGUGAUGCUUGUUCGAGAUCAUUAAGGUUCUUAACGUUGCAGCGAGAUAUCUUCAACACUUGCAGGAGCCUUAGGUUCCCAAGCCCAGAAAUUUCUGAUGCAGGGCAGUCACAGAGCUCCAAUUCGGACAGAGUUUCCAAAUUAGAGAAAUCCAUCCCCUGGAUCUGGCAAUUCUUGAGAAUCAAUUUUGAUAAUCUUGAGGGAAGUGGUGGGAGGUCUAGCAGGUCUGUGCAGGAUAAAUCAAGUUUUUUUAGUUGAGUAAGAGCAUUAAAAUCUUUCGGUAGACUAGUAACAUUUGGAAGGCAGAGCUUUAGGGUUUCUAAGUUGGAUAAAGCUGAUAUCCAGCCAAAGCUUUCCGUUUGGGACAGCUCAAUCUCCUCCUCAUUGGGAUCAUUAACUAACUCCAAAACUUUCAAAUCCCUCAAAUAUGAAAGUUCCUGAACUAAACUCAUGUUAUUGGUUCCCCAGCACAAACUCACCAAACUAGAUGGUAAUUUUGGAAGAGUCUGAAGUUUGUCACAGUGGAGCAAGUGGAGGGUCUGAAGAUGAGAAAGAUCAGAAAUGCUCUCAGACAGGCUAAAAAUCAGGGUAAACGAUAACUUCAAGACUCUCAAAGAUGAUAACCCUGAAAUAUCACACGGAAUUUUUCCAGUCAGACUCCGGCAGCCAGAAAAAUUUAGGACUUCUAACUUCCCUAGAUUUGUGAUAUUUUUAGGAAAAUUACUUAUGUGAGUGUUCUUCAUCCUUAGGACCUGCAAUCUAUCCAAAUUUUUUAUAGAUUCUGGCAAUAUCUGAAUUCUGGUGUUUGACAGAUCCAUUUUCCUUAGUGACCUAAGCAUCCCAAUGGAAUUGGGAAGUGCAGUUAUCCGCCGACAGUCUCUUAAAGAAAGCUCUUCAAGUCCCUCCAACAAUUUAACAGAAUUUGGGAGUCCUGGGAUAAUAGUUUUAUCCAAUGCAAGAUAUGACAGAGACCUCAAACAACCAAUAGACUCGGAUACUUCGGCCAAACGUUUGCAGCUGGAAGCACUGAGAGUUUUAAGUUGCUGCAUAGAACCUCUUAAGAAAUGAAGGUGACGGAUGGAAGUUUCAUCAAUCAAAAGCUCUUCCAAAUUAUCCAAGGAACCCAUCUCUUCUGGCAGCAGGGCAAUCUGAGUGGACUUGAUGUUCAAAGACUUCAAAGUUUUCAAAUUACCAAUGGAUUUGUCAAUAAAUGACAAAUGAGAACAUUGUUCGAGAGUAAGUCUUUCUAAUUUGCUAUCAGCUGGGAAGCGUGGCGUUUUACAUAAUUGACUGCAACCGGUUAGCUCCAAAACUUUCAAUUUUUUGGCCUUCUGUGUAACAAAGAGACAGAAAAGGUUCAGUUUCUAUUAGCUAGUCUUCACCAAAAGUGGAAAAAGAAAUCUGCAUGAUACCUCCAUUAUUUGUGUCCAACCUUCCCAUUCAUCUGCCACCGAGCUCCAGGACAGAUCAAGAAUGACCAAGUUCUCUAGGUGCAAAAGAAGAGGCUCAGAGUUAUUAUAGCACCCUCGCCAAUGAAGCCACCUUAAUUCUAAAAGAUGACUAGUAAGAUUUCCUCUCAUAUUAGCUCGAUCCAACUUAAGGAACCUUAAGUUCGAUAGGGGGCCAAAUUCGUUAGGUGUGAAACAGUCAUUGGAUCCUUUGUCAAAGGUGAGAGCAAGGGCUUGAACAUUUGGAGUACCCUACAAGUAUAAACAUAAACGUAUAUGAAUAAAAAUUGGACUUUGUGCCUUCAUUUUCUUCGCUUCUUCUACUAAUUAAAGGGUAAAAGGGAAUCGGCUAAAUCACAAAGAAAUAUUAACUGUAGGUAGAUAAAAAAGUAGUUCUGGCUUUCAGGUUUACCUCCUUCUUCCAUAGUGUGGACAGGGCGUCAUUGUGCACCCACAGCCUACUUCGAUUACGAGGGAGAGGAUCUUCAUUUAACACAAUUCCUCUGCCUAGAGUUCUCAGUAGGUUGUGCAUUGAUAGCUCAUUGUUUUCUCCAAUUUUCACCAAAGACAUGACAAGGAGAGCUUCAAUCCCACUAGAUGGAUAAAGUUUACAGUCUUCCCACAUAUAAAAGGCAAUUCUCUCAUCCUUUCCAAUCAGAAAGCAUGCUAUAUCCAAGAAUAUUUGCUUUGCAUUUUCUUCUAAAGCAUCAUAACUUAUCUUCAACACAGCUUCAACUUUCUUAUGAGGAGCAACUUUCAGUUUCUCCAACAUAUCGUUCCAUGUACCCUCUAAUUUUCCAAACAAAAGUGAACCUGUCACCUCAAGUGCUAGAGGAAGUCGCCCAGUAGCCAAUAUGAUGUCAUUGGAAAGGCUUUCAAAGCCCUUGCUAGGAGAAUCCCUUCCAAAAGCCCGCUUAGAAAACAGUUGAAGAGCUUUAUCUUCUUCCAUUGGUUCAAUCUCAUAGGUUUCAGCCUCUUUGAACUUCAAAAGGAUGUCCCUCUUUCUAGAAGUCACAAUAAUCCUGCUUCCUAGACCAAACCAACUAAGCUCCCCAACAAACACAUCGAGUUGGUCGACAUCUUCCACAUCGUCAAGGAGAAUGAGCACCCAUUUAUGGCGAAAUUGUUCAGCAAGAACUAUCGUAGCAUCAUCAGAACAUCUGAACCUUACACUUCCUUUUCGGAGGUCUGAGAUCAAUUGAUUUUGCAAGGACAAGAUCCUAUCAUGUUGGCAUAAUUCUCGAAUUUCCUUACAAUAACUAUAACAUUGAAACCGAUCAUAGAGUUGAUUGUAAACAAAUUUUGCAAGAGUACUCUUGCCGACCCCCCCAAUACCAUAUAUUCCAAGAAUUCGAACAUCGCUGCCACAGAUUUCAAUUACUUUUCCAUCGCGAUGCACAACACCAAGCUUUCUCAUUAUCUCUCGCACGUGAUGGUCAACUCCAACUAAAUAUUUUGUGACAGUUAGUCGACCUUUCUUCAGCUUUUGCUGAACAAUUGGGAUGAGCUCGUCUAUGAGCUUGGAAUGAUGCCUACAGAAAUCAAAUUAUGGAGACAUGAUGAGAAAGUGAAUCAGAACAAAAAUCAUACAGAAGAGCAAAGCCGUAUGCGAGGAGUUGAACCGGGAGCAAUGUAGCAUGAGGCAAGAACAAAGGAGGCAUAUAAAUGCACCUAAACAUCCUGCAUUUGAAUGAUCGAACUUGUUCUGAAAUCCAAAUGGUUAAGUAGAGUUGGGAAACAGAAAAGAUUGAAAAUGAAGAAUAUUGUCAAAGAUAGCAUGAUUGGUUUACAAUCUGGUGCAUCAAUUUUGUAAAUCAGUUUAAACAUCGAAUUGGAUUUACCCAUUAUGUAUUUUCGCUGUUUCAAAUCCCUUUAACCUUCCGAUCUCUUUGAGAGCCAGCUUCCACUUCUUGAUGGCCUCACUAUCAACCCCGUUCCUCUUGUGUUCGAGAAAGCUCUUCUCAAAAGAAUUCCUGUGGUCUUUCAAAUCCAAGGGCUCAAUGUCAUAGAAAAUAGGAAUUAUUUCUUGACUCAUCGUUUGCUUGCACUCUAAUAUUUGGACCAACUCCAUGAGGCAGCUUUUGCUGGAAGCAUAAUCCCCGGAGAUGAUGGGAAUCAAAACCUUCGACUGUUUGAUCGCUUCAAUCAGUACGGGCUUGAUCUCUUCUCCAACAGGCAGCUCAUCAUCGUCCCGAAAUACAAGUAUUCCAGCAUCUGUCAAGCUUUUGUAUAGGAAAUCUGUAAAACCCUUGCGAGUAUCUGGUCCUCUAAAACUCAAGAACACAUCAUAGUUGUUCCCAGCCAAGUCAGAGCUUGGUGACGAUGGUGAAGAGGGUGAUUCCUGUCAAGUGAGUAAAAUUGGAAAUUCAGAAUGUCGACUACGCAUAGAAAGGCGACCAUCGAAACUUGGGCUUGGGACAGAUUGCCUCAAUUUAAGCAUUAGAAAAUUCAAACAAUCCAUGCUCUGCAAAUGGUUCUCACUCAUCUAAUCUAUUACUGACAACAUGUGAUGAUGCAAUGUUAAAAGAUACAUGAAACUCGAAAAUCAAAUUGAAGGAACGGGCCCUUGACGCAGGGAUUAAUGCAUUUGGAGUAUGGCUCUCCCAAAUUCCGUAGACAGUUAUGUUUAUGUGUUCCGAAACAUUCUCUAUUCUAACUUACGCUCUGCAUUGGCGUGAAGUAUGUGAGGCUGUACUAUUGACAAUGCAAUUUUCCCGGCCAAAAGAAUAAACGGGGAGCGAAUUACAAGGGCUAGUACAGAAUCAAGAAGUAAAGUCACGGAAUCUAACCUUAGUAGUCCUCCGCCUCUUUAGAGAGCCAGCGAUCGCGGUCGCGCCAAGAGUCGUCACGAGCAGUAUGCGAUAUGGAAGAGGCGAAACACUCCCGAGAAAUAAGGAGCACGGCCACCAUCACAGUCCUCCAUUCCAUCUUCUUCCUCUGUUACGCGCGUGUGAUGGGGACGAGGUUUUCCAUCAAGUGAUCCACCAUGUGAAAGAUCCGACGCUCAGGAGAGAGAACUUCCACCGGAUCUUUCGAAAAAGGACUUCACAUGCCCCCACGAGCCCUUUUUUUUUUUUUUUUUCUUUGCUUCAUCAAAAAUAUUUAAUAUUAUCCCUAAUUUUAAAUUAAUAAAAUGACUUUUAUAUAAUAUAAGAACUAUAUUUAUCAUGUACCAAAAGUUCAUAAACUAUAUUGAAUAAAUUAAAAUUUUAGAAUCACAUCAAAUAUUAAGUUAAAAUUUAGAAACCCCACUUUACAAAUUAAAAAUUUAAGAACCACAUUAUAUAUUAAGUUAAUAUUCCAAAAUAAUUUAUAUCAUUAUUCUUAGAAUUUCAUGUGUCUUUAAUGAUGCACUCUUUUUUCGAAAAGUGAACCAGCAAUUACAAACAUGUAGUGGAUUUGGAUCGAAUUAAUAUGUCGUUUAAAUGUAUUGAUGAUCCUUUUAUUAAACUUUUUUAGCAUAUGUUGCCUGAGGUAGAGAACAAAUAAAAAUGGGAUAAGUGUAUUGAAAGUCUUAAAACUUGUUACGAAUAUAUAAUUGAGUUCUCAAAUUUUCAAAAAAGGCAAUCAAGUGCUAAAAGUUAUCAUGAAAGUUUAGUUUAGUUUUAAAACUUUCAAAAUGUUCAAUCAAAUCUUAAAACUUGUUACAAAAGUGCAAUUAAAUUCUAAAAAUUUUAAAAAGUACAAUCAAUUGAAGGAGUUAGAUUGUACUAAACUGAUAAGUUUUAGAACUUGAUUGCACUUUUCAAAAGUUUUAGGAUUCAAUUACAUUUUGUGACAAGUUUUAAAACUUAAUGACAUUUUUUAAAAUUUUAGAAUUCAAUUACACUUUUAUGAUAAGUUUUAGAACUUCCAAUGCAUUUAUCCCAAUAAAAAAAUUUCAUGGACAGAGGGAAAAAAAAAAUCAGAAGUAAAAAUGAAAGAAAAGCCAAUUUAAAAAAAAAACCAAUAAUUAAAAUAUUUUAAAAUAAAAAGAAAUCGAAGAAAGAGAAUGUCACGCCGGGAUUUGAGGGUUUGGGGGCAGCGGCUGGUGGCGGUGGCCAUGUGCUCGCGUCCUAGUCGAAUGGGAAUUCCCCUGUUUGUUACCUUUGCCAGCACAGAACUGGAGAGCCCCAUGUGCUGGUGACGGUUGAAACGCGAAAAUUAUCAAAAUUUUUAUUUAUUUGAAUGACCGAGCGAGACACUUGUGCUAAAAUCCGACCGUUGCAUUUUUAAUCCGCGAACCGCGCUUGCCUAAGAAUCUCUCUCCUUUUCGUCUGCUGCUAGUCAAUUGGGCGUCUCUUUUUGGUCAAUGAAUGUUAAAUGAGCCUCGGUUGUACCGGAGCAGUCGCCCCAUGCUUGCUGCAUCAUCGGAGAGCUGGACCUCGAAAGGACAAAGCGGUUUGGCUCCAGGAUUCGGCGGCUGUUUCGUCCCGGCAGGGAAAGGUGAGUUUCGCCCGACCCCCUCUGUUUCCUUGUGAUAUUUGAGCUGGGUCAUGGUCAAAUAGUCGCUCGGAUCUGGAUGUGUUGCAACUGACCCACAAAGAAUUCGCUUUCCCUCUUGCCUCACCGUUUCCGUUGCCUGCCUAGCGGACGAUGGCCCGCCGGAGCUUCGCCGCCGUCGGUCUCCGGUGGCUGAACCUUACAGAGAGCCGGGAAGGUCUUUUUUUAUUCGGACUUGGAAAUAGAUCGUGACGGUCAAUACAUAUCAGGAGAUAAAAAAAAAAAAUUUGCAAUACUCGAUUGAGGGUAGGGCAUGAUGUACGCAUUUUAUGAAAAUCCUUAGAAUAUUGUUUGUGUUUGAUCAAACUUGCAUCAAGCAAAGGGCGGCCCCUCCGUUCCUUUAACUUUUCAUUUUCUUUUCUGUCUCCCUUUAUCAAAUAUAUUUUGCAAAAUGCCGAGGGAAAAAAAAAUUGUAUUAGAAAUCCAGGCAUACAUUAUAGAGAGCAAUUAUAGUUGAUGUGAUUACUCAGUGUGGCAACUGGCAACACUCAGUCACUCAAGUCUUUUAUUUCUGCAGCCCCAUUUAUUUGUUUUCCUUCACUCUUGUUGGCAGAUCAUUGCCCAUCAUAGCAUCGCGAACUUACAGUGUUGGCUGCUGAAGAUAUCACAAUCAAGAUGAAGGGAAAAGAUGAUUGUCCAACUGACCAUUUAGUCGGGGUAGAUGGUCAAUUGGAAGCCAUGUUGGACUUGUUGGACUAUGACUUUGGUGGUGCACGGUGUCUUGGGAUUCAUGGCCCAGGUGGUAUUGGAAAGACAACCCUUGCUGAGGCUCUUUUCGACAAGCUCAUUUCUAAGUUUGAACAGUAUUGUGUCUUGCGAGAUGUCAGUGGAUCAUCACGCCGUGAUGGCCUAGUAUUUCUGCAAAAGAAAUUGCUAUUCCACAUCCUCGGUGAGACUAAGCCAAUGGUUGACAUCAAUGACGUUGAUAAUGGAAUGAAGGUUAUCAGGGAAAACACUCCAUGUCAAGAAGGUGUUAAUUGUUCUAGAUGAUGUGGACCAUAGUGAACAGCUUGAGAAACUAGUUGGUAAGGUCACUUGGCUUGGUGCAGGAAGUAGAGUCAUAAUUACGACAAGAAACAAAAGUAUCCUGGAGAGUGGAGAGAAAAGAAUACUUUAUGAACUGAAAGAAAUGAAUUCUGAUCAAGCACUUCAACUUUUUAUAAAUCACGCAUUUAAAAGAGAAUCUCCUAGAGAUGAUUGUUAUGACAGGCUUUCAAGGGAUAUUGUUUCUACUAUUGGAGGACUUCCUUUGGUUGUUGAGGUCAUGGGUUCAUUUCUUCAUUGGAAGCACAAAUCUGUAUGGAAAGAUACACUAGAAAAGUUAAGGAACAUUGCUCAUGAAGACGUCCACUGGAAGUUGAAAGUUAGCUAUGACGCCUUAAAUUUCAGGCAAAAGCAGAUUUUUCUAGAUAUUGCAUGUUUUUCAUUUCUUGGGAAGGAGAUUAAUGCUUAUUACAUCUGGAAAGGCUGCAACUUAUUUUCACAAAUAGAAAUUGAAGUCCUUAGUUCUCUGUCAUUGAUAACUAUUAGAGAGAAUGGCAGCUUAUGGAUGCAUGACUUGCUAAAACACCUAGGGCGCCAAAUUGUCUAUGAGGAAAACUUGGAUCCAGCAAAGCGUAGCAGAUUGUGGAUCCCUGAGGAAGCCAUGGACACGGUAAAAACAAGAGAGGUAAUACAUUAAGAGCACAUAUUCUUUCUUUGACUAGAAUUGGGGAGUUGAAUGAAGUUUUAACCUAUGUGAAGAAGAGAAAUUGAAAGUUCUUUUUAAUGGUGCAUGUAUUUGGCAGAUUAAAGAAAAUAUUGAAGCGCUCAGUCUAGCUGGAGAUCCUACUCUACUCAUCUUUACUGAUGAAGAUUUCACAAGGCUGCCAAAUCUAAGAUUCCUUGAAUUGGAUGGGGGGAGCUUUAUUGGGUACUUUACCAAUCUCUUUUCAAAGUUAAGAUGGUUUUCUUGGUGCCAUUGUCCUCCGGAUUUAAUUGCAACUAAUCUGUUCCCCCAAAAUUUGGUUGUCCUCCAACUCUCUGAAUUCAGCAACGCCGAUAAUUGGGAGGGGUGGAAGCAAAUUAAGGUAUGUAUGUUGCCAUGCAUUUUUCUUACAAUUAUAUGUCCAAUGAGACCAUGUAACGCUUUAAUCUUUUCACAGAUGCUGCACAAUUUGAAAGUUCUACAGCUGACGCGUCUAAAUAUGGUCAGAGUCAACUUGUCCGGGUGCUUUACUUUGGAAAGAUUGAUUAUUAAAGAAUGUCAACAAUUGGUUCAAAUUGAUGGCUCCAUCGGGGACCUAAAACGACUGGCUUACUUGUAUAUCGAGGGUUGCUACCAACUAGAAAAUCUGCCUGGCGAAAUUGGCUUGCUAGCGAACCUAAAGCACUUAUCUUUGAGUAACUGCUCAAAGUUAUGGGAGCUUCCGGACUCAAUGGGGAAGCUAAAUUCAUUGAUCAAGUUGGAUCUAUCGCGCACAUCAAUUAGAGGAUUACCUUGUUCUGUCGGAUAUCUUGUGAAUCUCAAGUCUUUAUCUCUUGCCGGAUGUAGAGAGAUGAGAGAACUUCCUUAUUCGGCUGGAAACCUAGAGUCUCUAAUUGAAUUGGAUCUUUCAUUUACGUGCAUCAAAGUGUUACCUCAUUCUAUUGGAAAUCUAAAGACUUUGAACAUGAUAAACAUGAAAGGUUGUCGGCUAGUAGAGUUUCCUUCGGCCAUUGGGUUGGCAUUGAAGCUUGAAGUGGUACGUGCUGGAUGUUGUCCUAUGGUGGGCAAAGUUUCAAGUGAAAUUGGGAAGUUGUCCUUUUUGAGAAUCCUAGAUCUAUCAUACACUUCCAUUCGUCAAUUGCCAGAAACAAUUCGUGUGCUCCCUCACCUAGAAGAACUGAUCCUCAAAAAUUGUGAUAAGCUGCAAGUGUUGCCUUCACUUCCCACAAGUUUGACUCAUCUAACUGUUAGUUCUUUGGCAUUGCAGUCUGUUCCAGAUCUCUCAAACCUGACUAAUAUAGUUAAUCUUCUCUUAUCCAAUGGCUGUGACUCUCUAUCGUCACCUUCAUCGAGCCUAGUCCAAACUAUCAACUUAGAGUGGAUUGGGAAGCUAUUUAAGUUGGAAAAUUUGGAACUGCGUCUUCCAAACGUGACCAUGUCACCAACUGCAUUGGGUUCCCUUUCUCGUCUAAGGCAACUUUACAUGUGUGGCCAUCUGCACCCAAAGUUUCUCGUGCAGCCCCCUAAAUCAGCAAUGCAGGGAAAUCUCAGCUCAGUAACAACUUUCCCAGGUUCAUCCAACUUGAGAAAUCUAAUGAUUUUGAAGCUCUAUCGGUCUUGGGGAGAGGAAAUCCAAUUUGGCGGUUUAGAACAGUUGAGACAUUUAACUGUCCAUGACUUUUCUGUCCUUAAAAGAAUAAUAUUCUCCCUGUCAGGCCUGAAGAAUAUAAAAGAAUUGGAACUUCAUGGCUGCCUGAUGUUGAGAGAUUUACAAGGUUUUGAGGCAUUGGAAACAUUGGAGAACCUGAAGGUGGAGCGCUGUCCAUCAAUUAGUAGGUUAAGUGAUCUGUCGAGAUUUCAAAAGUUGAUGGAAUUGAAAAUCACAUGUUGCGAUGACCUACAGAUUUUAACAGGUCUUGACGAGUUAGGAUGUUUGAGUCUCUUUACAGUGAUUUCAUGCCCCUCCUUGGAAUAUUGGACAAAUGCAUCAGACACGAUGAUACCAGAUGAAUGCCAAGUGAUAAUUCACCAUUGUAUGAAACUAGGCAACACUCCUAAGGAUGGCAUGCUUUACAAGGAUUAUAGAGAUAAGACUCUUGGAAGGAUCAAGUCUGAUUUUGAUAUGCGCACAUCCUACAGUAUGGACAAGGUGCUUUUCCUUCUUAUUAAUCUUUAUCAUUAUGAAAAAAACCUUAAUUUAGGAUGUAUCUAGAAGGUACCAGUGGGGGGGCCGAAAAGCUAAGGAAAAUAGACACCACAUGUCAAUCACAGUGCAAUCAACUAUAGAAAAAUGAAAUAAAAGAAAAACUUGAAUGCAGUGGAUUGCCUCUUUGGUUGUUUGUAUAAAAAACAAAUAUGGAUGAAACUAAAAGGAAAAUCAUAUUGUAAUUUGAUUAGAAUAAGGAAACUUCUGAAUCAUUUGCACAAAAAAAGUACUUCUAUAUAUAUUGCAACUCCUAUAUCGAUUUAUGUUAGGUAACGAUAAUAAUUAGAGGGCUUUUAUGUUGCCUGUUUCUUCAAUUGUCCAUCGUCCUACUUGGAAAACUGCUCAUUAAUGCAUAUUGAGUAGAUUAAUUAGUAAAAGCAGAUCUAGGGAGUCAUUACUUAUUGGACUUCUUAUUAAUGGUUGAGAUACUCCCAACCUCCACCAGCAAGCAGCAACGGAGUAUAUCGUAACAUUUGGAUCUGUUUAUAGGGGGUCAGGACUCCUCAAAAGAUGAGACUAACUAAUGUGUUUGGAUAUUGAUGAUCACAUUUGUCCUUUUCUUAAAAACAUCAUAUAUGGAUCUCAUGUCAAAAUAUUCAAAUGCGAACUGCAAAAACUAGAAGAGUAGUUGCAGCUAAUCUAUUUACUCUAUAAUUGGGAAAAGGAAAUCAACAAGUCAAUACCAUGUCUAACAAACUUUGAAUAAUCCAAUUGAUACUGUGGUGAAAAAUUUUCUUCAUAUCAUCACUUAAAUUGAGCGUGCAUAUCUGUAUCAUUAUAUUAAGUAAAGAGGAUCUCCUACUUUUAAACGAUCGCAAUCCUUUUCUCCUAAAUUGUCCUCAAUUAGCUAUUUCAUAAGUAUUCUUAUCAAGGGAUAAAGGCGUAAAUUGAUAAUUCUAUUAUCUCAUGUAUUUCAUUUUUAUUUUUUCCUCUUUGAGGAUAUCUCUUUUGGUUCAGUUGUUUUUAAUUUGGUCAAAAGUUUAUUUCAUCUUAUCUAAACUCAACUAAGCGGUGUUAUGGCUUUAAUGCAUUUGUGUCAAGUGUCAAAUGAGCCACUGGGGGUGGGGAUGCUAUUAUAAUAGGUGCGGGGUUUGACUGUCGCGCUUUGCAAAGAGUCAGAGAAAGUCGGAGUGAGAUGAGAGUUAAAGAUAGGACAAACCAAAAUGAAAAUUGGUCAUUUCUUUUUUAUAUCUCUACUUUUAUUUGGCACUUUUUUUUUAGAAUGGGUAGCGGCACCAAGUGUUAAAGAACUGCGAAUUUUAAUUUUUUUUUUCCUUUGCUUUUUUCUUAUUCUUGCUUCAAUUUAUAUUAAUGUGUGUUUUCACAAAUUUUAGUAGAUAUUAUAUGUAAAACUCAAUCUUUGUUAGAGAAACUAUUUUUUCCUGAAAGUUAAGCUAUUAAAAACGGAUCAAUAAUGUAUUUAUAGCAUGUGCUUUUGCACUUCCCCUAGGCUGUAAGCUGGUCCUUACACUCACAAAUGAUAAUUAUAACAAAAAACACAAUUUAAAUUCACAUCAAUAUAUUUAGACUUAGGUUUGCGCUAGGUAGAUGCAUUUUAUGCAUUUCAAGAAGGGUUACAAUUAGAAAAAGCCAUAACAUGUGCUUACAGAGUUGCAUAAUCUGCAAAUUUUGAGGAAUUUGACAUAAUAUCUAUGAGAGAGAAGUGUUAUUUUUUUAUUCAGUAAUGUUCUAUAUAUAUAUACCUAAAGCUCCUAAAGACUAUUUUACCCUUAUACUCUAAUAUACCCUAACACUUCCUCUCAAGUUGGAGCAUAGAUAUUAAUCAUGCUUAGCUUGUUACAAAUAUAAUCUAUCCUCCCAUUACCCAGAAGUUUAGUAAAAAUAUCUACAAGUUGCUCCCUAGUUCGAACAUGACUUGGAAGAGUCAAUCCACUCUGUAACUUCUCUCAAAUAAAAUGACAAUCAACCUUAAUGUGUUUUGUUUUCUCAUGAAACACGAGAUUUAAAGUUAUAUGCAUUGCAGCUUUAUUAUCACACCAUAGGGUCAUAGGAGUUAAAAGUUUUGAAACCUAACUCGAUCAAUAACAGUUGAAUUCAUAGUAAUUCACAUGUCACUUGUACCAUGGCUCUAUAUUCUAACUUGGCACUGGAGCAAGCAACAACACUCUAUUUCUUACUCUUCCAUGAUACCAGAUUCCCUCCAACUAGGGUACAAUAGCCUAUGGUUGACCUCCUAUCAUUUGGAGACCCUGCCCAAUCAGCAUUUGAAAAUCCUUCAACUUUGCUAUGACCGUGGUUCUGAUAAAUAAUCCCUUUCCCUAGAGUCUUCUUAAAGUACUGCAAUAUACAAAUAAUUGCGUCCCAAUGAGACAUUCAUGGGGAAGACAGAAAUUGGCUUACCACACUGACUAGAAAAGCAAUAUUUGGACAAGUAACUGUAAGAUGAUUAAGUUUACCCACAAGUCUUCUAUAUCUCUCAAGAUUAUCAAAGAUCUCCCCAUCCUUAGCGGUCAAUUUAGCUCCUUAUUCCAUAGGUGAAUCAAGAGGCUUUGAUCCCGACAUACCUGUUUGAGUAAGCAAAGCCAAGAUAUAUUUUCGUUGUGACAAAACAAUACCUUUCUUUGACUAUGCAACUUCAAUUCCUAGGUAAUACUUCAAUUUUCCCAAGUCUUUAGUCUGAAACUAGUGCUAAAGAUAGAUCUUUAGCUCAGAUAUACCAACCAAGUCAUUUCAUGUGAUGAUAAUAUCAUCAAUGUAUACAAUCAAGAACAGUUUGCCUCCCCCUGAAUGUUUAUAAAAGAAAGAGUGAUCAUUCUCACAUCUCGACAUUCCAAAAGAAAGUAUGGCCUCAGAAAAUCUUCCAAACCAUGCUCGUGGGGAUUGCUUCAAACUAUAUAAAGAUUUUUUUUUUUUAAUUUGCAAACCAGUCCCUCAGACUCCCCUUGAGCAACAAAUCCCAGAGGUUGCUCCAUAUAAACUUCCUCAUUAAGAGUAUCAUGCAAGAAAGCAUUCUUAACAUCAAGCUGAAAUAAGGGCCAGUUAUUUGUGGCAGUAAGAGAUAUCAAAAUUCAAACAGAAGUAAGUUUGGCAACAGGAGAAAAAGUGUCCAAAUAAUCAACUUGAUACACCUAGGCAUACCCUUUGGCAACAAGUCUCGCUUUUAAACAAGCAAGAGAAUCAUCAGGAUUGACCUUCACAGCAUACACCCAUCGACAACCAAUAGCAGUUUUGCCUAAGGAAGAGGUACCAAAUCCCAAGUUUGAUUCAUUUCAAAAGCCUUUAAUUCUUCUUCAUUGUUGUCCUCCAAUCAAAACUUUGUAAUGCUUUAGCUACAGACUUAUGGACAAGAUGUUGUUCAACAGUAGAUAAAAAUGACAGAAAAGGAGACACAGAAGAGUAAGAGAUAAAAUUUGCAAUAGAAUGUUGAGUACAGGCACGUAUACCUUUUUGAUGAGCAAUAGGAAGAUCAAAAUCAGAUACAAGAGAAGAGUUUAAUGGCAAAUUUGACACCCCAUAUUAUUUUUUAAAUCGGGUCAUUUUCUCUAUUACUAAGUUAUGAGGUUUUAAUGUAUGCUGUCCUUCAUAUCCACAUGUGUCAAAAGAUCCGCUAGUCGGUGUAUAGAUAAGAAAUUUGAAAGCCGGAAUUAUUUGCCAAAACACAUCAGCAAAAUAAAAAUCGAUCAGUCCUGAAACUUGGAUUUCCUUUAAAAUAAUGUGGCGAUAACUUUGAUCACUGGUAGAUCAGGAUGAACAGUGACUUUGUAUAGUAGACGGUAUAUGCAAACGCACGGACUAUGAGGUGUCUGCAUUUCUGUAGUAACGUCNNNNNNNNNNNNNNNNNNNNNNNNNNNNNNNNNNNNNNNNNNNNNNNNNNNNNNNNNNNNNNNNNNNNNNNNNNNNNNNNNNNNNNNNNNNNNNNNNNNNCAUAGUUACUUCUUCUCAUCUUGCAGCCUUGUCUAUGAGGAAUCAUCGUGUUUCUUGUCGGUGGCAGAAAUGGAAAGGGCAAGACAGUUUGCACCUAUCGAAAAAGAUGUCGGAACUGAUGAUCAGGUAAAACACAUCAUGAGCUUGAUGAAUAUUGAUGAUAAGGACAAGCGGAUCAUUGUCGUCAUCCAUGGAGAAGGUGGGACUGGCAAGACGACUCUCGCAAAACUCAUAUACAACCAAGUCUCCUCUGAUUUUGAUGGAUCUAGCUUCCUCGCAGAUAUUAAAGAAACCACUCAAGUAUUUGGUCUUCGGCCUUUGCAAACUAAGUUGAUUUCCGAUGUUCUAAAACGGGAACCUGAGGAUGUUGCUUUUGUCAACAGGGGAAUUGGAUCUUUUGGGGACUUAUUUUGUGACAUGAGAGUCUUAAUUAUCCUCGAUGAUGUGGAAAAUGCGUUUCAUGUCGAGAAACUCAUGGGAGAUUGCUUUGAUUGCUUUGCACCUGGAAGUAGGAUCCUUGUAACCACCAGAAACAGUGUUGUCCUGGAAGAAUCUCCUCAGAUCCGGACAUGUAAUGUUAGUCGGUUGAAUAAUGAUCAGACUCUUCGGCUCUUUAGGCAGCAUGCAUGUGGACCGAUUUCUCCCUCAUGUAGCAACUUCUGGCUUUUGAACCAUGCUCUUAAUGCUAUGGCAGGGCUUCCGUUGUUUAUUGAAGUUAUGGCAGCAGUCUUCAAUGGUAAAAUGCAGGAGGAAUGGUGUAAAUUACUACAGCAGUCACUAUACCAGCAGUGGGAUAUUCAGAGUAUUCUGGGGGGAGGAUUUCGAGCAUUAGAUGAUAAGCAGAAACAGAUAUUUCUGGAUGUCGCUUGCUUUACCACUGGCAUAGAUAGUCGAAUUGCCUUUUACCUAUGGUAUAACCCUCCUUUUCUGCCUUCUAGCGAAAUUUUGACUCCCAUAGCCAAAAUCGGAGAAAACAAACAGAUAUGGAUGCAUAGCAUGUUGAGGCGACUUGGCAGAGAAAUCAUUCGUGGGGAGAAUCUUACAGAUCCAGGAAGGCGGAGUAGAUUAUUUAAUCAUGAAAUAGCUCUCGAUACGAUAAAGCGGAAAAAGGUGAAAGUUUAGUGUUUUUUUUAUUCUUUUUGGCAAUUGUGAAGCAUAAGAGAUACUUUUCUUAUGUUUGCCGCCGAAGGAAAAGAACUAUUUUGCCAGAUAUUGUUGGGAUCUGACCAUGUGUGCAAUUGAUGCUGUCUGUCAUUUUUCUUUAGGAAUGUUUCCUGACUGGUUACGUGUCAAGAAGAGAGACUGUCCUCACUUCGUUUUUCUCGUCUAUCACAGGGAACAGAAAAGGUUGAGGCACUCUGCCUUAACUUUCGUUGGCAUACUUCAGAAAAAUUUACAUCAGAAGAUUUUGAGAGCAUGCCAAACAUACGGUUUCUUCAAUUGGAUCAUGCAGACAUUGCCGGAGAUUUCACUAACGUUUUUCGAAAGUUACGGUGGCUCCGUUGGCGAGGGUGCCCUCAACAUUUGCAAGUAACUAAUUUUCACUUGGGAAACUUAACCAUUCUCGACUUGUCAUGGAGCAAAGUCACGAAAGACUGGGAAGGCUGGGAUCAAAUAGAGGUAGUUUACAAUUCAUUGCUUUAGCAACGUAUCUAUUCGUGAAGUGAACUAAUGCAAAUAUUUCUCCUAUUUUGCAGAUGAAGAACUUGAGAGUUUUAGAUCUUACAAGUUGUGUUGACUUAUUAGUCACUCCUAAGUUCUCUGGCUGUAAAAAUCUGGCCAUACUGAUUCUGGAGCGGUGUUCACAAUUGGUCAAGAUAGAUCAUUCGAUCGGCGAUUUGAAGUGCUUGAUUUCCCUCAAUUUGAAGUUCUGCACAGAGCUCAGCAUGUUGCCGGUAGAAAUGGGUCAAAUGACAGCUCUGAAAGAGCUUCUCAUGGACGGCACUACGGUAGAAGAAAUUCCCAUCUCCAUUGGUCAAUUCAAGCAGCUUGAAACUCUAACUGCCUUAAACUGCUUAUUAUUGAGUCAGCUACCAAGAACGAUUAGUCGCCUGACGAAUCUCUCACUUCUUUCCCUGGAUGGCUCCAGAAUUGCAGCACUUCCCGACUCUGUUGGAGAACUGAUCAGACUUAAUCACUUGUCGGUAAGGGAUUGCCAUCGAAUAAGAAAACUUCCAAACUCCAUUGGCAACAUAGGGAUAUCCUUAGUCGAGUUAGAUGUGUCGGGGACAGGUGUUUCCAAGUUUCCAAAUUCAAUGAAGUAUCUGCAGAAAUUGAAGGUGUUGAGAAUGGAUUCUUGUUUCUUUAAAGAGUUUCCUCCUGAUAUCGGAGAGCUGACCAGCCUCGAAGAAAUACACGCCUCCUGGUGUCGGAGUCUCGAGGGGGGCAUUCCGAGCGAGAUCGGAAAACUGCAUAAUUUGAGAAUCUUGAGACUGCGACAUUCGACUAUUUCCAGCAUACCGAUGGAGAUCCACCAACUUUCCAAUCUUCAAACCCUUGACUUACUUCACUGUGACAUGAUCAAAGAGUUACCAAGGCUUCCCUCUAGCAUAAGGAUGUUGCAUGUAGAUGAUGAACUGAAGUCUAGAGAGAUCUGGAAACUUCAUAAUUUGAGGCUGCAACGAUUCAGUACUUCCACAAUACCGGCGAUGAUCAAACUUUCCAAUCUUCAAACCCGUCAUUUACUUCACUGCAACAGGAUCAAAGAGGCGCCAAAGCUUCCCUCUGGCAUAAUGGAUUUGCAUGUAGGUGAUGAACUGGAGUCUAGCGUGAUCUGGAAUCUGCAUAAUUAUGGGCGGUAUCGUUUGAGUACCUCCAGCAGACCGGAGGAGAUCCAACUUUCCGGCAACAUGAUCACAAAGUUGCCAAAGCUUCCCUCUAGCAUAAGGGAUGUGCCCAGGGAUGGGCGAGGUCUAGGUGGUUGGGUUCCACCCUUGAGUCGGGAACCGGCCACCAAGGAUUAGUUCCGAAAAUUUGAAACCGAACGGCCGGUCCGGUUUUCCAUGGAAUCAGCUGGGGGAGGGGGUGGAGGAGGAGGGGAAGGGCGGGCACAGGUCGUCGUGGGGGAUGGAGCAUAGGUGGUAGAGGGCGAGGCGAAGGUCGAGGUGGAGCGGGAGAGAAUGGUGAGGGGAGAGAGGGAGAGCGAGAGGUGGGUCGAGAGAGUGAAGAUGUUGGAGAGAAAAUCUUAAAAUCUCUCGAGAGAAAGAAUAGACACAAACAGUGAAUGAUAAUGGACGGAAACAGUGAAGUACGGAGAACAGAGAAUAAUGACAGACAUUUUCUUUGAAGGUUCUUGUAACCCAACUCAGCGAUAGUGAAGAAACCACCAAGAACGUAGCUCUCUUUAAAGAUGGCGUUGAUCGAGGGUGCAGAGAGAAGAGAGAGAGAGAGAGAGUACCAUAUUAAUUGAAGAGAGAGAGGAUAGAGGAGUUUGAAUGAAGAGAGAGAGAGAGAGAGAAAAGUGGAGAGUUGCCGGUUGAUCGUACAAGGUUUAUUUAUUUCUGGAAAAUUUAGAGGAGAGAAUGUUGUAUUAAUCGAAGAGAGAGUAGAGAGAUGAAAUUUUUAAAAAUAUGGGUAAUGGUCAGGUCAGCCCAGUUGGAAUCGGGAAUGGGAUCAGUAUUCAACGGCUUCAAUUAAUUAGAAUGGGAAACUGGAUCGGUCUUCAUGAGAGCCGGUUUUGGGUAGGUUCGGUCCGAUUAUGGACGGUUCGAGUUCUUUUCGGUUCUUUGGCACAUCCCAAUAUGUGUGAUAGCUAGACAAGCUAUUCUGUGAUGAAGACUAGGCUCUAGAGAGCCUAGGGUAAUUCACUUCAUGUUAUAAUUCCAAAUUCGAAUGUUAACAUCACCAAGAAGAUGGGUUAUAUAUGAAAUUGCUAAUGCAGGGCUUCGAACACUCGACCUCUUAUUGGGAGAAUGAGCACUUACCCAGCAGAUAAAUAAUAAAAAUUCAAGAAAGAGAUAAAUAAAUAAACUACCUAAUUUUCCUUUUUUUGUUUUUUUUUUUUUGUUUUUUCCUCUUUUCCCUUUUUCAAACACAACUUGCUCGUGCGGCUGGUCUCCGGGCAACGGGUCGUCGGUCCGGUGGCGGAAGUGCAGGCUCGAGCUGAGGCUGCAGUGGUCUUCGGCUUCGGGUGGCGUCGGUAGUGGAGAUGCCUGGCAGCAAAGACGUCACUCAGACGUGUGGGGGCUCGGAUCUGGGCCUGGCGUCGCGGGUCAGCAGCAAGUCGAGGGCGAGAUCGGCGCUCCGGUGCGGUAGAUCGGGCUCCGAGCGGAUGCGGGGACUGAGCAGGGGGCAGUGAUGGCGCGGUGUGGCGUGGUGUCCAGCGGGGAGGUGGUCUGCUGUGAACGUUGAUGCAGGGGUGGCGUUGGGCGGCAACGGCUCGUCGGAAUCGUGGGUCGGCGCGGCACGGUGAGGAAAGCGGUAGCUUCACCGGACUCCAGGCUGGGCAGAUUCGUGGUCAGAUCAGGGGCAGAGCAGAUGCGUGCGGCAGCAGCUCGGACCACCGGCAAAGGCCGUCGCGGGCCGAGAAACUUCAGGUGCAGGCGUAGAUCGGAAGCGGGGCCAUCUGGUGUGGUGGCGCGGUGAGGCGGCGCCGCGGGCGGUCUGAGAUGCGGUCGCUGGACGCCGGGCGCGGCGGUGCUCACAGCUGCGGAGGCGCGACGGAUCGGGCGGCGAGGGAGUCCGAGCGGCUUGCGGUUUGAUGGCGUCGGCGCAGCGCGGGCGCGGGUGAAGAGAAGCCGGCGACCGGGACAUCGGAUGGGUGCAGAGAAUGUGGGGAAGACGAUGAACAGUAAAUGUCCAAUCACUUCCUCCCCUCUGCUGCUUCUGCUUUUACUUUUUACUUUUCACUUUCCUCCACUUUUUUUGCUUUUCUUUUCAGUCGACCAAAAGAAACCUUAGAAAAGCCCCUUUUUUAACAUUUUCCGUGCAUUCAAGGAAACAAUGCAAUCUUUUGUAAUAUUUCAUCUCUACAAGAUGCUUAUAACUCCUACGGUCACGAAAAUCUUUCUAUUCCCGAUAUUCUUCUACUGAUACUNNNNNNNNNNNNNNNNNNNNNNNNNNNNNNNNNNNNNNNNNNNNNNNNNNNNNNNNNNNNNNNNNNNNNNNNNNNNNNNNNNNNNNNNNNNNNNNNNNNNAGAUAAGAUUGCAACCAGGAUUUUUUUUAAAUUCCCAAAAUUUCUCCUUCAAAUCUUCAAUUUUAAAAAAUGGGCUCGGGCCAAUUUAUAUUCUUCAUGGGCGUUAGUCCAGCUUAUUAAUUUAAAACCAAAAAUCACUAAUUUAAUCCAUCCGCCACCGAUUUAUAAAUGCAAAUAAAAAAUAAAUGCACCUAAAACUAAAUGCUAUGCAAUUAAUUAAUUAAUAUUUUUUAAGUGGUAAAAUUAAUCCUUAAUUUCUUAAUGCGAUAAAUAACUAAACGGAUAGCUAAAAUUUAGGUGUCAAUAGCCCCUCCUUGCGAAAUCAACUUAGCUUCUUACUUCGAGUGAAAGUGGUUUUGCUUUUAGUUAAUAAUUGAACACCUUGAGUAAGCAUAUGAAUUUAUAACUGAUAACUUUUUGAAAAAUGAUAGAUUCUAAAUAAGAAGGCUUGUGGAGAUGCAAGGUUGUUCUAAAAAACAACAGUAGGGUUUCUAUUUGGUACUUUCAUAGAGAUUUUAAUUAUUUCGUGAAAAAUGAAUGAUUUUGAAAAUGUUUUACUAAAACUAACUCUUGUAUCGCAUACAAAAAGGAAUAAAUUUGUAAAAUAUUUUUAUCAUCCACGAAAAUUUGGACAUAAAUUAUUAUCAAUAAUGAAAAUAUUUCUCAUUAACUAAUUAUUUCAACUAAUAUAAAGGACUAUUUUUAGAAAAAUAUUUUCCAAAUAAUGUAUCAACAAAAGUGACUAUUUAAAAAAGAAAAAAACAAAGAAAAUAUUCACACGAAAUAAUGUACCUGGUUGCGGACAUUGUUCUUGUUUUAACAAAGUUGUUGGAGGGCAAUUGCUCUCCAGCCGUCAAUAGUCGAUGCUGUUUUCAGUAAUUACUUAUCAUAGUCCGUAAGAUUUUAGUUUAAAUUCCUUUCUUUUCACGAUUAACCGAAGUUACAACAUCCUUGCUAAUCUAACAUUUCUAUCAUUAUUGGUCGCAGUCUCACAGACAUUGCUCCUUGCCGAGCAAAGAUUUUGUCAACAGGUGUGUCAUGGAUAAUAGUUAAGUAAUUGAUUAAGGAAAUUUUAUUAUUUUCAUUACAUUGAUUUUUCUCGUGUUAUGCAUAAUUAGUACUUUCAGAAUUGAAUUAUCUAAAUAAAAUGUCCAAGACACUCAUUAAUAGUAAAAAUGAAGAAACAUUCGGAGUUAAAUGAUGGAUAAAGACAGAUAUCUAUGAUAACAUUCUUUUACCCACAGCUUCCUUUUAUAUUCUCAGCGAAAUUGAUUGCUUUUGACAACUCCAAAAGAAAAGUAAAACUGCAUAAAUUGAAGGAAAGUCUCCGGUCUCCUGAAGAGGAGAAGGGUGCUUAUUCAACAUGACCAACACCAUGUUUAACUAAAGUACACACCUUGAAAAUCAACACAGAUGGAGCUUUCUUGGAUGGUGCAAUGAAAGGGGUGGUCUCGGGGCUCCUUAGAGAUGAUAGAAGCGUUUUAGAGAGCGCAUGAUAAAAUUUCUAUUUCUUUAUUUCUCUAUUUCUCUAUUGCCGGGAACGAGUUUGGAACAUAAAUCUAUUUGAUAACGCAAUUUGAUUUUUCUAUUUUUGGAGCACAUUUUUAUUUCAGAAAUAGAUUUGAAGAAAAAAUCGGACUUUUCAAAUUCUGAAAUAAAAAUUAAGAAAUCAAUUUAUGGCCAUUUCUGUUCCAUAAAUUUUGUUGUGCGCAUCCUUAUUGGACGGUUUGCUAUCAAAGUUCCGUCUUUAUCGCUGAUUCAGACAGAAAUUUUGGCUCUGAUUGAAGCUCUGAAGUGAUUAGAGCCGAGGAGAGAAGAGUGAUAUGGAGGAUUGAGACCGGCUGUGCUGAGCUAGUGGACGAACUUAAGGGAAGACGCACGUGUAGUGGGAGCUGGAGACGCUGAUUGAAGAGGCUAGGAUUUGAAUGGCCCAAUUUAAGUCCAUCUCGCUGGCCCAUUUCGCGAAGGCCCAUCGUUCAAAUUCCCUUUCAUCUUUUUGGGAAUUUUAUGUUUGGAGACCUAUAUAUUGGGCUUUUUGUUUAAGAACUCUUGAAUUUCAAUGAAUAUCGAGAAAUAUUUCAACAGGGAAAAAAAAAAAUCGCAAGAUGAGAAGGAACAUGCAUGAACUUAAAUCAAACACCUCAGAGUCAAUUUGACUCUCAAGAUUGCCAGAUUUUUCCAUCGCAUGUGAUGCUCCCAAAUUUCAUCAAUGAUCUUGAGAAAAUCCUCCAAUAAUGUUCCGUUUGGUAAUAUAUUUGUAACACUAUUUGUAAAUUCUGAAAAAAGAUGAUACAAUCAUGUAAUCUGCUACUGGCCGAUCAGGUAUAUUGACAUAAAUUGGUAAUAGCGUUAGCAAAUUACCACCGUCAAUGUUCCAAUAACUUACUAAUUGUGAACAUAAAUUUAUCACUCAAAACUAUAUCAUAACGAUAGCUAGGAAUUUGCUAUCGGAUUUGUCAAUAGUAAUUUUUUUUAUUUCAUUGAUAAAUUACAACUAGUUACGUGCCCCUUGUAAAAUCUAAUAGCAGGGGUAAUCUACUAUUGAUGGAAAAAUUAUUAUUUUAUUGGUAACUUGUAAAUGGUCAAUCAGAUUGACAAAUCACCGGUAGCUAUGCAGUGGAAGGGAAGGAGCCUAAAUCAACCUCCUUAUUUUCCUUUUUAAGAAAAGCAGUACAAAGAUAUUAGACUCUUGAAUGAGACUAAGCACCCACCGACCAUUCCGACACACCUCAGACCCAUUUUUAUUAAGACCGAAAAGCUAUCUUAUCUGAAGUAGAGCCUAGUUGUUGUUGUCAAACAAAUGAUAGAAUGGAAAAUGUUGAAGAACCACCCACUAGUAGGGAUAUGGGUGGAGUCUUGCUCAAUAAAGAGAGUUGUAGAUUCAUAUAAAAGGAGAAGAGCCUUUAUUUACUUGAUAUCAAAUCUAUUAGAAACUGUCCUAAGACAUUCUAAACCUUGCCCACCUCACAAUCGAAUUUCCAUAGCCUAGCUUCCUACUAGCAACCCAAAAUAAAGGAAGGAAAACUUCCACUCGAGACAUUGCACUUCUGACUCAUUAGGAUAGCUUUAAGCAAGGAAAAUUGUCUUGCGGCUUUUACUUACCGUCGAUUUCAAAUUUACUGCCAACAUUACAUAUUUACCAUCUGCGGAACAAACUGCUUCAAUUUCAGAAAUCUGCCAAAUCAGUAUAUGGACUCAAUGCCAAAAUGCUUGAAACAUCCUGCAAUUGGGUUAGUCCAUCCAAGUAUAUCCCUAUAACAUGCUUCCCACAAUCGUCCUAAAAACGUUCGGAAAUCGUAAUCGAGGGUCUCUGCUUUGCAGCAAGAGACAGGAGAACAAAUGACAAUGGACUAACCAAGAGGGCUGGUUACAGGUCGAGAGAUGCAGAAUAUAAUGUACAGCAGUAUUAUUCAACAUGGAGAAAGCAAAAUCUACACUUCAUAUAAGUCCUGGAUGAACAGGAUGAUAGGCCUUCCUUCCAUCAACUGAAGAGACCUUGUUACACAGCAUCAAGAAGAAAAAUCUAACAGAAGUUUGGAAUAAGAACAGGCAGAAAUCACAAGGGAAGGCGCAAGGUGCGGCGCGCUUGCUUU
rnacentral:lncRNA from 1 species